UUCGAGGACGAAACUCCUUUUAAGGAGGGGGGAUGUAAGGAAGUGAAUUCUCGAAAUCCGAGGAUUGUACUUCGUCCAGGAUCGACUGACUGUCGAGAGAAUACCCUUUGUGGGAGUUAAGAAUGUCCGAAACACAAAAAGUGCCUUGGAGUUGAGUCCGCGAGAGCAAAUGAGGCAAACUGCAUCAUUGGGUUGAUGCUGCUCUCGGGGACCGGUCUCUGCAGGUGAGAGACCGGUUCCACUGGCUGGUUGUAGCAGGGUUGCAUGAUGCAACCGGUCCCUGGUAAGGAGGGACCGGUUCCCGAACAUUGUCCCAGCGAGAGAUGCCAAAAAUUGGCUAAGUCCUGAAAAUUUAGCUCUCGGGGACCGGUCUCUCAGGUGAGGACCGGUCUCCCAAGGACCGGUCUCCCGGGGAGAGACCUGUUCCCGAACGCGUGCGCCCGAGGGAAGCUCUCGGGGACCGGUCCCAAGUCGGGGAGACCGGUCCCUCCGCGCGAAAACUGCCCAGUGAGGGCUGUGCAAUGGAUGAAAAGUUGAGGGGUCUAAAUGCAAAAUGGCAUCUAUUAGAGUGGGCUGAGCCCUCUCUCUCCCUCACACCCUCUCAUUUUCUCUCUUUCUCACACUCUCUCUUGCUCCCUCUCUCUCUCUCUCUAGAAAGGAAAGAAGAAGAAGAACAAGAACAAGAAGGAGAGGAAGGAAAAGAAGAGGAAGAUCAGGAAGGAGAAGAAGAAGGAGACCAAGAGGAAGGCUUUGAGCACCUCCAUCUCCCUCUCCUCUUCCCAUUGGUGUAGCUCUUGAGGUAAGCUACUAAACCCUAGCUUUGUAAACUUAGGGUUUUUUGGGUUUUGAUAUCUUCGAAUGGGUCCAUAAUUGGACCUAAGCUAGCUCUAAAAAAGAUCAUCCCAAAGCAUGUAGGAGAUUUAUAGGUGGUUUGCUAUAGGUGCAAACCUUAGGGCUCCAAAUGAGGUUUUUUGUGAAAUAUUGAGAUUGUCUCAUUUUUGAAGCCUGGAACCUAUUGUUAGGUCACAAAACGGGGGGCGAAGUCGAUUUCGGCAUUUCGCGAACCGACGUGGAAGUUCUCGGCAAAAUCUGGGCCGGGGCUAGUAUUGAUUUGGCGAUGGAACGGCAUAAUAGCCUUUUCGUAAGAGCUUCGCCGAGAGGGAUUUUUUUUUCAAGCCUCUAUCACUCGAUUAGCGUGGGGGGUGUAAUCCGACACUUUUCGAAUCCUUUCUAUGUCUUAGUUGCAUUCAAUCUCAUCUCUUCAUGUUGCAUUGUAGGAUUGCCAUAUGUAGGUUCCAUUCCUUAUGGACUUCUAAUUGAUAACCUAGUGUACUUGGAACGCUUGGUAAUUUAGACAGGGAGGAUUGGGUUCGAGACGUGAAACCUAUGGUGCGAACGGACAGAGAGCAACCCGAUGGGGUAUUGAUGACAUAGGAAGUAGUACGAUACGUGUAUAGAACACGGUUGCUGCCGAAUAUAACUGAUGACAGAUGCUUAAUUAGUGUAAAUAACACUUAGAGGUCAUGGACCUAGGGUAGGUGGAUCCAAUUAGAAAAUGCCUUGUGAACAAUCGAAUUUAGAAAACUAUAAUAGCUAUUGCAUGAUGUUUGGGUAAUGAUUGAAUUCCGCGAUAUGUCGUGACCUUAGUGACGGGCUCCCACUUGGAGAGGAUCGUUGGGUUAUUGACCUAGUCUGUAGAGCCUCCUCACUCGAGAGGAUUUGGAUUGGGUGUUGACCUACGUAUACAGUGUAUCCUCACUGGAGAGGAUAGAUCUAGCUCACAGUCUGCGUUAGGGUCAUAGCCAUACCCAAUCCCCACUGGAGGGGAUUGUCGUCGAGUACUUCGAGUGUGCGAACUAGACCACUUGGAGUCCCGAUCACAUGGGGUCCGUAGACGGUCCCGGCCUGGGUGCAACUUGGAGCUCCCUCCCCACUUUGGGAUUUAAAAAACAAAAGAAAGAAGGUGAGUCAUAGGUGACCUAGGCCUUCGCACAGAUAUGGGGUAAAUAGGAAGGUUUAAAUGCAUGAACAUUGCUAUUCGUACAUGGAUCAGAAUUUGCUUAGCAUGAUACAAACCUUUAUUAUAUGAUUGCAUGCAUUCAUAUUCAUGAAUAUGAGCAUAGUAGCUAUGCUUCUACUAUUGCAUUUACAGCUUGCCGAUACAUAUCUAUCAUCUAUUCAGUUGUUACUUGUGCCCACUUGGACCUAGUGGGGAGAUCGGCAGAGUCGGCGGCCGAGUCCACUGGGAACUAUGGAAGAUAGUUCUCACCUCAUUCUAUUUCCAGUGGUAGGUACAGGGUUGCCGAGAGAGGACCGCGGCAAGGGCAUCGCGCCCGAUCAGUGAGGCCGUGGUAGUAUAGUAGCUUUCCUUUUUGCAUUAGCACACCUAUGUAUUGAGAGAGAUUCAUGUAGGUGAGGUUGGAGAGCUAUGUAUUUUGAAGAUCAAAUGUAUUCAUUUUGGAAAAUGGGGUAAAUGUAAAGAAUGCAACUAUUGUGAUAGUUAGUAAAGUACUCUCUUUAUUUCACUCGUAUAUCUUGUGGAUUACUUGCUCUUCUUGUUGUUGGCACUGUUUGUGCCCGCGUUGAAUGUGUAUAUUUAGAAUUUAAAGUCCUGGGUAAAUUCUUGUACACAUAUCUAUUGUUGAGCCUUGGGCGGACAGGGGGGUGCUGUCCGUUCGGCGGUCCGUCGCCGCGGCCUAAUCGUGCCAUAUCGGUAAUGGUUUCGGAGCGGGGCGUGAUAUCUCUGCUGAUUGGAAUUUCGAAAUCACCUAGAACAGCAUCUAAUCAAGGUAAACUUGAUUAGUAUUUAUGCAUAGAUAAGUUAAUUACUUGGAGAGGGAGUUAUAGGAAAUUCUUGUUAUUGGCAGCCUUGGUGACCUUGUUGUUGUUGGAGCUGAAUUCUUGUUAUUGGAGCAGCAAAGAAGGCUUCCAAAGCUGAAGUGAAUUAGAAGACAUGUUCUUAAACUUUUGUCUUUAUUCUUCUUUUAUCUAUCUUAUGCUUUUAUUUUUAAUUUCUUUUACUUUUUUUAUGUUUUAUUUUUUAACUUAUUUUUUUUUUAAUUUUUAUAUACUUUUAAUAUUUUUUUAUUCGCUUUAUUUAUUUAUUUUUUAUAAAAUUAAUCCACUGCACCGCGCGGUUAUCUUCACUGGUUAGGCUUCGUUUGGGAUUGCGGGGAGAUUGUAUUACGUGCGGUGAGAAAGUACAAUAUAAAAAUAUCUUAUUUAUUUUCAUAUGUAAUAUUACGUUCUGCUUAUCACGAUAUUCAUAUAUAUUUUUAUCCCUACAUGUAUCUCUACAUAUUUUUAUUUUAAUUUUAUUUUAUCUAGUAGCGUCGGAGGUCUCCAACACUAAACUAAAUCUUAUUUUAUAAUAAUAAUAAUAAUAAUAAUAGAUAAUAGAUAAUAGACGGACUACCACGUAGGCUACCGUGACUAUGUACCUGCUGUAAUUUACACGUUCCCGUUUCCUUCGCCUUCGGGGACAUAGCAAGGAGAAAAAAAAAAAGAAAAAAAGAAAAAAAAAUUGUAGAUAAAGGACGCCGCUAGGGUUUCCUCCUCCUCUUUAAUCUUCUUCAAUUUCUUCUUCCUUCUCCUUCCUUAUCAUCCCCUGUCCUAACAUCGAUCUAGGGGUUGGGAAGAAGACAUGGUGGUGCACGGGGCGCACGGGAUCCCGCUGGAGGUGGUGGGCACGAUGAUCGAGAUGGCCGACGUGGCGUGGUAUGCCCUCGAGCACCGCCCUGGCGCCCAUAAGGCGGCGGCGCCGGAGAAGGCGUCGUUAUUGGGGGAGGAGGUUGCAGCGAAGGAAGCAGGGGCGGAGGAGGCGGGAGAGGAGUUGGCGCGGUUGCGGACGGAGAACCUCCGCCUGAGGACCCAAUUAGCCGACAAUCUCGCCCUCCUUCAGGGCGUCUACAAAGCGCCCUCCAUCUCCAAAGAUUGCCCUGCCGAUGUGCGAACCCCUCUUAUUCCUUCCUUUUAAUUUAAAACGAAAAAAUUAUACCACGAUUUUAUGUCUUAGGCAGAAGUUUGUGAUGUCUGAGGAAGGAAUAAACAGUAGAGUAGGUAAGUAGAAGAUAGAGAAUAUGGUUAAAAAACUAUUUACAAGUUAGAAAAAUAAAAGAGUGAGAGAAGGGUGAAGCUCUAGGAAGGUCGAGGAGGUGCGCAGGGAGGUAGAAACCAUGGCUGUCGACGGCGAAUGGUGGAGCACCACGAUCAUGGCCGUCCACGGCGAGCGGUGAAGCACCAUGAUCGAAGGGUCUCGGAUUUCAAAUAACACAAUUGAAGAGCCGCCCGACAGGAUCUAGGUUGAAGGAGUUUGGCAGAAGUACUGAAGGGGAAAAGCUUAGCAGAUGGUGUGGUGGGAGAAUUCAACCGCCCCGGUACAACCAGAUCAAUGAAGCCCAAGCCCAAGCCCAAGCCGCGGCAAGAGUAGCUUCUCCACGUGCCCAAGACGCAGUCAAACCUAACUUAGAAUUGGGCCUACAGUAGCUUGCCCGCAUGCAAUUGUAAUGCCCUUUACACUUUAGUCCUAGCAGUUUUUGUAAUUUUCUCGAGUCCUCUGAGCAUAUAAGUAGUUGCAAGCACAAAAUUUCAUCAAUGAAAAGUAUACUGUCCUCUUUACCAAUUCUCAUCUCUCCUCCAUCUUGUUCUUCUCCAUGCUCUACUAUCUAACCUCUCACUCUCCUCUCUAAUCUCUUAGUCUUCUCUCAUUUCUCCCCCAAUCUUAUCUAAUUCCCUUUCUAUCAAUUUUUUCUUUUAUCUUUUCCAACUCCUCUAUUUCACCAAUCAUUUGUUACAAUAGGACUAAAUAGUGCAGCCGUCAUCUUCUAUGCCAUCCACAUCUUAGAGAACUCUCAUCAUCGACGGGUUGCAGAUCAUCCGGUUUGUUACAAAUUGGUAUCAGAGCUGUCCGAUCCUAGGGAUAGGUGUAGUGUAGUUGCACUCUGUGUUGAUCCCUUGGAUUGUUGAAUUAGCAACGUGACAAAGCAUUCAAGCUGCGAGAACCUAUUCUUGUUGGAUCUCGACAAAAGAUCUCACUGCUAGGUCCUUAUGGACCUAGAGCCGCAGGGUGAGGUGAGCAAACAGCACCCUGAACUGCUAAAUCCCUACCUCGAUGUUUGCAAUAUUCGUAGAAGGAUCCCGCACCAUCAAAAAGGCAACAGAAGGCUGCAGAAGAAGGGUACAGAAGCUAGGAAUUACAUCAAAUGCUUGGUAUACAUUCGGUGAAACACCAGCUGCACCUUCUACUAAAAUUUAACCAUCGUAUACCCACCAGGAAUGUACCAAGAAAAGGGAAAAGGAACUUGGCACUGUAACAUUGAUUAGGAUAGUGUCAGAGCCUCAGUUGAAUCAUUGGUGCCCGCGGCAAAUUAAUAUAGCACUCAGCAAACCUAGACCAAAGAGAAAACAAACCAACAGCAGGAGACCAGUAAAAAGAACAAAAGAGAGCCUAAAAUGAAACCAACCAUCAAAAAAAAUUGGGAGAAAAAAAAAGCCAAAACGGAUUCAAGUUCACAACCAAUAAAAGUAAAAUGUUAGAAGGUACUAGAAAGAAGGACUUAACUGACCAUGUUAAGUUCAUUGAAGAAAGGCUGCAGCAACUAAGCAUGGAUCAUGAAGCCCGCAUUAAUGGAUUAACCUAGCAACUAGUAGAAUCCCAAGAAAGAAGAGUAGCAGAGACAUAAUUAGAGAGUUAGCCACAUUGCCAUCUCAACUCAAAUUUGCUUAUAGUGUGCUAUCGAGCAUUCUAGAAGAUAGGGAUUGGAAUUACACCGAACCGAGCUGCAACAACACACUAGUAACCAAAGGGAAAACAAAGGCAAGGGCAUACUGCCUACUCCUGUGAGAGUGCAUGAAGUUGAAGAGCCACAGUGGCCUGCGAGAAAUCAACCGCAGCAAUGACACAUACUGAAUCCGAAGUUAAGACUUCCUUAUGUUUAAUUGAGAAGACCCUAAGGGGUGGCUGGAGAAUUGCGAGCAAUAUUUGACAUGUAUCGAAUUCCCUGACAAUAAUGGCUUGCCAUAUCAACUAUGCACAUAACAGGAAAGGCAAGAAUAUGGAAGCAAGGCUACUUUAUUAAUAAACCGGAGUUAACUUGGACCAGUUCUCCGAAGCUGUUUGCAACAGGUUCGUAGAUGUGGGGAAAGAUAUUUGAUUAGGGAAUUCAGCAAUUGCAUCAAACAGGACCUAUAGAGAAAUAUCAAGAAAAGUUUGAAAAACUAUGAUCACAACUACUAUACUAUAACCCAUGCCUAGAAAAAGAAUGCUUCAUAUCAUGUUACAUGAAUGGCUUGAAAGAAGAGUUAAUACCUUUCAUGGAUAUUGCGUACCCGGAUACACUCGAAGAAGCCUUUACCCAAGCUAAACUGCAAGAGAGGGCCAUAACCAUGACUCACAAAAAGAACAAGUUUGCUCUUAAGGUGCCAGAAAGGCAAUAUCAGCCGUACAACUCAAGAACUAUCAUUGGAGCAAUCCCCUACAAUCCUGUGCAGUUUGCUAAGCCAAAGCACCAGGAUCAGCUUAGGGCAUGGUUGGUUGCCCGAAAGUAAAUUUCAAAAAGUGAUGUCUUAUUGGGUGUUUGAUUUGCGAAAGUGGAAAUAAAAGUCACUUUGCAAAAUUGGGUUGAUAAAGUGAGUUAUAACUAAAUCUCACAUUUUUGACUUAGGCUAAAAGUCCGUAGUUGCCGAAAGUGGAAAGCUUAUCUAAAAGGUUAUGUUUGGUCUUAACUUUAAUUUUUGAAUUUAUUUUUAAAGUUGCAUGUCAACUUAAAUUUGAAUUAAAAUCAUGAAUUUAAUUCCACAUUCUGAAUUUUAUUUGUAAAUUCAAAUUCAACGCAAAAUUUUUAAAUUCAGUUUUGCAAAUUAUAUAUAUAUUUUUAAAUUUUUUUAAAAUAUAAAUUUUAAUUUAAAUUUGAAUUAGAGUUUUAAAUUUUAAAUUAGAAUUAAAAUUAAAAUGUUGAAUUACCAUUGUAAUCAAAUUAAUUUAAGCUAGGAACUUCAACUUGAACUUUGAAUUCAAAUUGUUCCAAACUAUAAAUUGAAAUUAUUGAUUGAAACUUAAAUUCAAACUUAAAUUUUUAAGUUGAAAUUCAAAUUUGAAUUUAAGUUUGCAUUUUUAAUUUAAUUUCAAUAAUGAGUUUUAGUUUGAACUUUGAAUUUGAAUUAUGAAUUCAAAUGUUCAAUUUGAAUUGUGAUUUAAACUCAAAUUUUAAUUUAAAUUAAAUUUCAAGUCAAAUUAUGAAUUCAUAUUUGAAUUCUGAAUUUAAGAUCAAAUUGUAAAUCAAAAUUUGAUUCAAAUCAUAAAUUCAAACUAUGAAUUAAAAUUUGAAUUAAUGUUUUAAUUUUGGCUAAAUUAUAUAUAACCUUCUUGUCAAUACCCACUUUUUCACUUUCCCACCCUGUCAUUUAAAAACCUACACUUUGCCUUUUUGAAAAAUGAAAAAUGUUUACAAGGGUGUACGGUGUGACAAAAUGAGUAAAUCACCCUCAUCUUCUUCAUCUCCUCCCCAAUCUUGCUCAUCCCGACGACGGAGGAGGGUGAGGGCGUGUGUCUGGGCAUGGACAGAGAGGUGGGCGACGGCGAGGCGGCGGAGGGCGAGGCGGGGGCCGAGGGCAUGUGUAUUGGCAUAGAUGAGGGUUUUGGGAGUAUUUUGGGUAUAAAAAGUAAGGUAUAAACGGAACCUUAACAGAACACUGACUGCGGGGGCUGAAGUGAACAUUUUUCAUUUUUUAAGGGGACAAAGUGUAGGUUUCUGAAUUACGGGGGGAACGUGAGAAAGCGAGUAUUGAUAGGGAGAUUUUCUGUAAUUUAGCCUUUAAUUUUUAUGUUAAAUUUGAUUUUAGAAUUUAAUCUUAGCUAUGAGUUGCAACUUAAGCUUUAAAUUGAAAUUGUAAAUUUAAUUAUCUUAAAUUUUAAUUAUAAAUUCAACUCAGAUUUAAUUUUAAAUUUGAAAAUUUAAAAUUUAAUUUUGAAUUCUAAACAUAAAUAUAAAUAUAAAUUUAGAUUUAAAUUUUUAAUUUAAAUUAUAAGUAUAAGUAGUUUGUUUUUAUUUUCAUUGUUAUACAUAUAAUCAAGCAAACAAUUGAACUAGAAAACUGUAAUUUUUAUAUCUCACUUUAUAGCCGAUCAAACAAUCGAACUCAAAUGUCACUUUUGUAAAAGUUACACGAGCCACUUUUGAGCAAGGUUUAAAGUGCUGUGACAUGGGGGCGUGCCGCUGUUUGCCUGGCACGGUACGGCAACUUCACACUUUCGUGCCGACAUAUGGUACCCUUGCGUGCCGAUGGAUAAGCAUGAUCUCCUACUGGCACGCUUUGGCACGGACUUAUUUUAAUUUUUGUGGUUUCAAUAAACUCUUAUAAUAUUAUUUUGGAAUAUUUAAUCAAAUAAUUAUAAAUAUUUGCAAUGUAUAGCCUACUAUACUUAUCAAUUAAUAUACUUGUACGUUUUUUUGUAUGUAAAGAAUAACUAUACUUGAUGUAGAGUAGAAAUUUUUAUAGGUUAGAAUUUUUAAAUGCAAAGGCAUCUUUUUUUCUUUCUUAUCACCAUAUUACAGUCUUUUUUUAUAAAAUACAAAAAAAAAUUUAAAAACUAUAUGAAAAAAUUAUUUUAAAAAGUAUUUGAAAAAAUAAUUUUUAAUUAAUUUUUUAAAAAAUUAUUAGAUCUAUCAAAACAAUUAAGCAAUAAAUUAUAUGACAAAUAAAUUAAAUAAAUUUAAGUAUCAAUUGAUUUAAUAUAGCUUUUAAUUUUAUCAGUAUUUUCAAUCUUUUAAUGCAAAAAUAAAAUUUUAUGUUUGAUGUGCUUCAAAAUUUGUUUAUUGAAUUUGAUUUUGUUCCUCUAAUUCACCAAAAGUUUCGUGGUGCAAUAAAUUUUGAUAAAAUAAUUUGUGAAGAAAAAAUGGAUGUCUGUGGUGGCCUGAGCCUGCAGUGCACCACUGACAUCCGAGGGGGUUGCAGGGGGUUUUGCCCCCUGCGGUAUUUGAUUGGAUAUGUAUAUUAAAAAUUUGCCCGUAUAUUGAUAAACAAAAAAAUUAAAUUAUAAUUUUUUUGACCUAUCUAAUAAGUAGAUUUUCGAUUUGCAAUGUCUUUGGGAGAUGUGGGGUACCUGGAUGUUUCUUGGUACUCCUAAGAACAAAACAAAAAGGAAAAAAAAAGCAAAAAGCGAAAAAAAGUAAAAAAAAAAAAAAAAAAACAGUGCCGCGGCAUAGUGCUGCGUAUCACGUUGUCUUGUGUGAUAGCAGCAUAGUGCCGCGGCACGGAGGGCACGAUAUGUGCCACCCCAUGCUGUACUGCCCAUGCCGUAUGGCACAGGGCGGCACUUUAAUCUUUGCUUUCGGGCAACCGAACAUACCCUUAAUGAGAAUGCCAAUCAACAUAAUGGCAGCAAACAACUAAUAGAGCAUAGAAGAGCCGCAUGGUUGUUUCAAAUGUAAAGAGUAGAAUCACCAGGCGUAUCAAUGCAAGAAUAAAUCUCUAUUUAGUAUGGUAGCUUUAGGUAAUGUGCUUGAAGUGUAUGGUGAAGAUUGUAUGGAAGAAACCAAAGAAGAGAUGAGAAUAGAAAAUGACAAGAGUUAGAAGAAGAAACUGAGGAAGUGGGGCUAUGCUUCAAUGCUUUAAAUGGAGAGAAUCGACAGCGAAUGAUUAAGAUUCAAGGUUACGCGAGCAAAAAUAUCCUAAAAAUACUGGUGGAUAUCGAAAUAUGCAUAGCUUCCUAGAUUUUAGGACGACGACGAAGGAAGUGAAGGCACAAGUUGAAUUAGUAGCACAGUUGUUAGUAAUAGUCGCUAACGGCCACAAGAUAAUGAGCAAACUUAAAUGCAGUAGGUUUACCUUAACCAUGUAAGGACAGCCAUAUAAAGCUGAUUGAAGAAUCAUCCGGUUGGAAGGAUCUAGUAUGGUGUUAGAACUAGACUAGCUAAAAAAGUAUGGCCGGGUCACUUUUGACUAUGCCAACAGUACCGUGGUGCUAGAUAUUGAUGACCAAUAGUUGCUACUUAAGGGACUAAUUGAAGGAUCCAAAUUGAAGAUGCUAGCUGCUAAAGGAUGGUACUAGGAAUGCNAAAAAGGAAAAAAAAGCAAAAAGCGAAAAAAAAAAAAAAAAAAAAAAAAAAAAAAAACAGUGCCAUGGCAUAGUGCUGCAUAUCACGUUGUCUUGUGUGAUAGCAGCACAGUGCCGCGACACGGAGGGCACGAUAUGUGCCACCCCAUGCUGUACUGCCCAUGUCGUAUGGCACAGGGCGGCACUUUAAUCUUUGCUUUUGGGCAACCGAACAUACCCUUAAUGAGAAUGCCAAUCAACAUAAUGGCAGCAAACGACUAAUAGAGCAUAGAAGAGUCGCAUGGUUGUUUCAAAUGUAAAGAGUAGAAUCACCAGGCGUAUCAAUGCAAGAAUAAAUCUCUAUUUAGUAUGGUAGCUUUAGGUAAUGUGCUUGAAGUGUAUGGUGAAGAUUGUAUGGAAGAAACCAAAGAAGAGAUGAGAAUAGAAAAUGACGAGAGUUAGAAGAAGAAACUGAGGAAGUGGGGCUAUGCUUCAAUGCUUUAAACGGAGAGAAUCGACAACGGAUGAUUAAGAUUCAAGGUUACACGAGCAAAAAUAUCCUGAAAAUACUGGUGGAUAUCGAAAUAUGCAUAGCUUCCUAGGAAGGAAGUAAAGGCACAAGUUGAAUUAGUAGCACAGUUGUUAGUAACAGUCGCUAACGGCCACAAGAUAAUGAGCAAACUUAAAUGCAGUAGGUUUACCUUGACCAUGUAAGGACAGCCAUAUAAAGCUGAUUUAAGAAUCAUCCGGUUGGAAGGAUCUAGUAUGGUGUUAGAACUAGACUAGCUAAAAAAGUAUGGCCGGGUCACUUUUGACUAUGCCAACAGUACCGUGGUGCUAGAUAUUGAUGACCAAUAGUUGCUACUUAAGGGACUAAUUGAAGGAUCCAAAUUGAAGAUGCUAGCUGCUAAAGGAUGGUACUAGGAAUGCCAAAAAGGAGCCUGCUGCGCUGUGGGUUAUAUUAUGCAAAUUGGAGAAACAAAAGAACUGGAAGUACCUCGGGUGAUUCAGGAAGUAUUGCAACUAUAUGGAGAUGUGCUUAAGGAGGAGCCUAAAGGGCUUCUCCCUAUAAGGUCGUAAGGUCACAUGAUUCCCCUACAAGAAGGCUCCAACCAUUCAACAUUCGGCCCUAUUAGUACUCAUACGAACAAAAAAAUAAGAUAGAGAAACAAGUCAAAGGGAUGCUUGAAUCAUUUAUUAUACAACUGAGUACAAGUCCUUACAUUUCGCUAGUGUUGUUGGUCAGGCAAGAGAAUAGCACUUGACAAUUCUGCCUGGACUAUCGACAAUUUAACAAAUGACAAUUAACAAUAAAUAUUCCAUCCCUCAGAUAGACGAUUUAUUAGAUGAAUUGGAUGCAAGGUUUUAAGUGCCCGUCGGCACGGGCCGUAUCCACCGUGUCGUACCGUGCCGACAAGUUACCGGUACGAUACAGAUCCCGUACCGAUGGCACAGUUCAAAACCCUCUAUUCUUUAAAUUAGUGAGUAAUUUUCUCAAUAAAGUUCAAAAGAAGUGAUAAAAAGACAUAAUAAAUAGUUAGAAUAUUUUGUUGCUAAAGAAAAUAAAUAUUUCACGAUAUUAUGUGUCGGCACAUAAAAAUUUUUUUUGACCGGCACGUAUCGGUACGACUCGGCACGCACCGUGCCGUACCGUGUCGGCAAGUUUUCGGCAGGACUCCUUGCCACGACACUUAAAUCCUUGAUUGGGUGGGCCAACAUACUUUUCUAAGAUUGAUUUGAGAUUCAGUUACCAUCAAAUUAGGAUGGAUUAUUCGGAUGGACAUAAAACAGCCAUCUAGAUUCGGGCCAUUAUAACUUUAUGGUCAUGCCUUUCGGGGUGACGAAUGCUUCGACUACUUUUCAAUCCAUCAUAAAUGCUAUAUUUUUGCUCAGUAUCUUUGGAAGUUCUUGCUAGUAUUUUUUUGAUGACAAUCUAGUUUACAACAAAACUCUUGAAGCUCACAAGGAACACUUGAAGAUCACGGGUUGAAUACCUAGGUUAUGAUAUAACUCAAAAAGGAGUAGCCACAAACCCAACGUAGAUUGAAGCUAUGGUGAGUUGGCCAACUCUGACAUCACUCAAAGAAUUGAUAGGGUUCCUAGGGAUCACUUGGUAUUAUUGGAGAUUCAUUAAACCCUUGACUGAACUUCUAGCUACCAUUUGGUUCGAGAUUAAGGAAAAACUAGUUAUUCCAGGGAUAGGGUUAAGUUUAGGGUUAAGGUGGGGUUAGAGUAUUUUUGUGUUUGGUUGGGGGUUGGAGUUAGUCCAGAAUAGUGAAAAAUAGUGUUUGGUUGGAGUAGGUGGGAUAAGAAGGACAGUGUGUUAUUAUGAAUAGAAAAUAGUGUUUGGUUGGGGUUUGGUGGGGUUAGGUGGGGUUAGCUAAUCCAGGAUAACCCAUUUGAGGUGGGGUUAGCUGGGGUUAGCUAACCCCACCCAUUUUUAGAAGUGUUUGGGGAUAAAAUGGGGGUUAAGGGAUUAUUCCACCCCUUUACCCCCAACCAAACGGAGGCCUAAAGAAGGAAAAAAUCAAGUGGAGUUAGCAUGCUUAAUCUGCCUUUGGCAACUUGAAGGAAAUCAUGACCGAGGAACUUGUUUUGCUAAUGCCUGACCACACCAAACCUUAAAUUGUAAAUGUGGACGCAUAUAGGCAAGGAUUAUGGGUUGUCUUAUUAAGGGGAGACCAUAUUCUUAUUUAAGCAACGCUAUCAACCAACGAAACAUAGGGUUGUUGACAUAUAAGGAGUUUCUGGCGAUAUUAUUAGCAGUAAGGAAGUGGCAGCACUGAGGCAUUAUCUCAACGAAUUCAUAAUCAAAACCGACUGCCAAGUCUAAAAUAAUUGUUGGAACAAAAGAUUACCACAAUCGUGCAACAAAAAGGAUUGUUAAGCUUAGGGGCCUCAACUAUGCGAUACGCUACAAGGCAUAAGUAUUGAAUAAUUAUUUCUAAGCCAAAUAUGUGAGAGCUAAGUACAAUGCGGGACAAAGUGCUACAUCAUUGGUUUGGUGGGAGCCAUCUUUUUAAUCUCUAGGAGUCGCCUCUAAAAUCUCACAACGCUUGAUAAUUUUGGUCUAUGUGUGUGGUUGGGUUAGGAUCUGACAAGGACGUCAGGGUAGGAGUUAUGAUUGGGUGAUUAGGGACCCUAGAAAUAAUAACUAGGCUUAAGAACUUUGGGCCAAUGGUUUGGGCCCAACGAGUUAUUAUUUCUAGUGGGUUGGGUCGUUACACUCAUUGUCGGAAAACUAACCACCCAAUGAAACUUCAGCUAAUCGGUGAACCAUCUACAUGUGUACUGAUGAUUAGAUAGUGGUGAGUAUUUGACGAGGGGCAAAAGAGAAUCAGUAGUGCGACUCGUAUCACCAAGGUGGAAGUUGUGUCAAAGCUCAUCGUAGGUGUCUCAACAAAAUAGGGAAAAGAGGACCAAGUCAGAAAUAAUUAUUUACGAACAUCCCCACACUUUAGCAUCGGAAGAACGAUAGGGGGAGAUCAAAAUCUAAGGGAAAGUAAAAGAGAAGAAGAAAGAGAUAAAGAAAGGAAGAAAAGAAGACCUUUUCCCUACCUAGCCAUGGCCGCUAGCGUAGCAGAGUUAUUUACAAAUAGUUAAUCAUAUUACAUACACUGAUCAUGUCACAAGAUAAAACUAACAUAUUGCUCUUUUGGUUAAUGCAAUUGUUAACCAAUGCAAGGCUAAUUUCAAAUGUAGAAGCGACUUGUUUGAGGAGAAAUUAAAUUUACCAAGAUUCGCUAGGGUGAAUUUAGAGCUUGAUAGAGGGCCGUCUUAAAGAGAUUAUAGCAACGCAUACCCCUUGAACUUGGUUGUUCCAAAGAUACAAAUAAAUGGAUGUAAUGGAUGAAACUAUAAAUUUUUUUUUUUUAUAUUUUGCUUCCGAGGGAAGUGAGCGAAGCAUGUGGUAAAGUCAAUUGGUUGAAAUCACAAACGGAUUUUGGUGUCAGCAAAAAGUGAGAGGAGCAUAUAAUAAAAUUAGUAGUAGCAAAGUAAAUUAGUACUUUCAUCUUCGGAUGAAUACUCCCAAACAUCUCCUAUUUUGGUUGGGCUGGUUCGAUGGCUUUAUACGAAUUAGCGUUUGAGACCUCUAAAAAUGAAAUGGACAAAUUCCUUUUCUUAGGAACACAUACAAGAAAAAGGAUAAUGUAACCCUACCUUUUUUAUCAAUAAAAACCCCUUCCCAAACUGUACAAGCUUUUUCCAAAGCAUACGGCAUGCAAUUCAAUGAAAUUGAAUUGCAUUUUUAUAUUUACAUUGAGAUAAUGAUGACCAAUUCUUAAAAUUUAUAUUUACCUCAUUUUGCAUUUAAACAUUUAGUCUUGAUUAUUAUUAUUAUUGUGAUUUUUUUUUAUUUGCAAUGUUUAAGUGUAUAGUAUAGAAUUUUCUAUAAAGUUGGUAACUUUAAAAACCAGGUUUCAAACCACUUUGACAAUUCUCCAUUCUUUGGUUGGAAUGCUGAAACUUGGUUUGCAUAGAACUCGAUUCUUGUUCUGAUAUCUUUGAAUUUCAUUUAAUCUUUUGUGCACAGCUAUAUGAACGCCUUAUAGCUGCAGUGGACAACUCAAGCUUCCUUGCUAACCUUGAAUCACUUCAUCGAGAGUCAACUGCUGGUCCAAAAGGUAGGUUCCUGUCUGGUGUCAUUUGAACUCAUAUGUCCUCAAGUAUUUGGGACAUUUAGUUAUCUACAUUUUGAUGCAUUUGCUUCUUACGUUUUUUCAUCUUUUAUUUUCCUUAUGCUGAAUCAGGAAAGGAACCUGAUUCCAUGGAUGUGCCUAUUAAUGUUGAUGAUGGGAAGGUGAGUUGGUGGGUUUGGGUCACUAGCGAGAUUGCUCCCAAAAGCUUAGAGGAAGUUAGUGGAAUUGAUGACGAAAAUUAUGUCAUCAUUACUGAAGAGGAUGUUGUUGAUGGUAUUGCUAACUUCAUUGCUAGAUGCAUACUUGAAAACCAAAAAUCUAAGGUAUGUUUUCAAAGGACUUUUUAUAUUGGCCAAUUUUCUACUUUCCAUAUUUUGACACUUUUAAUUUAUCUUAUACCAGACAUUAUCACCGCUGGAUCUGCAGAAAGGUAAAUUUAUGCAUCAACCCAUCUCUUUUGUAAUGCUAUUAUUUGACUGCAUAUUAUUCUUGUUUAGUAUUAUCUUUGUUUAAUUUUAAUUGUUUUAAUUCGGUUGUGAAAAUUCUCAUUCUUAUUGUAUUUCUAGUGACAUGACUAGCGGACCAGUGAUAGACUCUUAUCUUUAUGCCUUUUGGUGAUGGGCAACCAUGAUAUGUGUCAAUCAACGUGCUCAGCGUGGAUUAGCAUGUUAUUCUGCUAAAUUAAUCUUGUCAGCUUGACUAGUGUAUUCUAGACAAUAACUCAAAAUGAAUGGCAUAGCUUGAGAACCUUUGAGCAAGGAAUUAAGUAUCGCGGUACGUACCACGCCCCCUAUUAAUGGGUAUGGUACAGGGAGGGUCUCUAUUGGUAUUGCGACAUGCCGACAUGUGUCGCUGCGUGUCCACACAGGCAUGCAGUGUUUUUUUUUUUUUUUUUUUUUUUUCUUACUUCUGCCCUUUUUUUCUGCUAGACUUUUAUCCCUUUCUCUUCUCUUCAUUUCUACUCUCUCUUUCUCUUCUCACAUCUCAUCUUCUAUUUUUUUUCUUUCUACUUUUUCGUUUCUUUUUUCUCAUAAUUUUUUCUCUAAUUUCUUCUUUCAAUCCCUUCUUUUUUUAAUCACUUCGAUCUUAAAAGAAAAGGAAAAGAAAUAGCAAAAUCGAAGAUCUACUUAUUAGGCAAGUCAAAAAUUUUACAACCUAUUUUUUUUUUCCAUAAAUUUAGAAUAUAUUUAACUAGUAAAGUCCUUUUGUGAAGAAAUAUGAAAUUAUGCAAAGUUUAUUUGCAAUUUACAAAAAAUUGAAAAUAGAUCCACUUGAUUUAGUCAUUAUAUAGUCCGAUUUUUAAUUUUCGUGGAUGGAUGUAGCAUUUUGUAUGAUAUUUACGAUAUUUUGAACUUUGAAAAUUCUAUUAUUGGAUUUAGAAACAUGAAAAUUUUAAUAAAAUCACAAACUAAAUUGAGGCGGUUGAUAUUUAAAUUUCUUUUAUGUAUUUGUCAUAUGGUUUAUUGUUAAAUUUUCAUAAAUAGAUCUCACAAAUUUUCUUAAAAAUUUUAAGAAAACUAAUUUUCUUGGAUGAAUCUUGAAAAUUUGCAUAAGAAUUUUAAUAAAGAAAUAAUUUUCUCUAAUUUGUAUUUUAUAAUUUUUAAAAUUCCAAAAAAAUAAAGAUAAGUCAACAAAAUUUUAUCAGCUAUGAAUAUUAUAAUAAUUAAUAAAUUAAUAAAUUAAUAAAUAUAAAUAUUAGUUAAUUAAUUAGUUAAUUAUAAAAAUAACUUAAUUUUUUAAUUAGUUAGUAAAUUAUUUUAGUUAGAUAAUUAGUUAAAAAUUAAAUAGAUUAGUCAAAAUAUUAAUGGUUGAUCAAUAUAAAUAUUGGUUAUUGAAUAAAUUGAUUAAAAUAUUAAUUAUAAAUAAUAAUUUACUAUUUAAGCAAUAGGUAAUGACUUAAACACAUUAAUUAGAUUAAUUAGUAAUUUAAUACUGUAAUAAAAAUUAGAUUAUACUUUAAUUAACCUUGUUCCCUCUAGGCUUCGUUUGGUUUGGGUAUAAGCAAGAACUAGGUAUACCCGGGAUAGGUACAAGUAUGGGUUUUCGUAGGAACAAGGGUAUUUUUUUGUUUGGAUGAAAAUGUGAGUAUAAGUUGGAACUAGAAAAAUUGUGUUUGGAUGAAAAUGUGAAUAUAAGGUGGAAUAGUUGGUAGUUAUAAAUAGAAAAUAAUGAUAUUACCCCUAUAAUUGAAUUUAAAUUUUUAAACUUAUAAUUUUAAAUUUAAAUUUUAAUAUUUUAAAUUUUUGAAAUUUAAAAUUUGAUAUUUUAUAUUUUUCAAAUUUAAAUUUUAAAUUUUAAAUUUUAAAUUUUAAAUUUUAAAUUCAAAUUUGUAUUUUAAUUUCUAAAUUUUUAAUUAAGAUUUUUAAUUUUUAAUUUAUANUUCAAAAUUUUAAUUUUAAAUAUCUAAUUUUAAAUUUAAGACCAAAUUUAAAUUUGAAAGAUAAAAAUAUCAAAUUUAAAAUUUGAAAACUAAAAAUAUCAUAUUUAAAAUUUAAAAUUUAAAAAUAUAAAAUUUAAAAUUUAAACUUUAAAAUUUAUAAUUUAAAAUUAUAAAUUUAAAAUUUAAAAUUAUAAAUUAUAAAUUUUAGAAAUUUAAAUUUAAAAUAAAUCUCUCUCUCUCUCUCUUUCUUGUACUGGGGGUGGAACAACUUGUUCCACCCCAGGGUAAGUGUUCCCACCUAUACCCGGUUGUACCGGGUAGGUGGGUGUUCCCACCUACUAAAAAUCAUGUUUGGGUACAAGAGGGGGGAUAACCCCCUUAUCCCCUCUCUUGUACCCAAUCCAAACACUACCCUAGGGAACAAGCUUGUUCCAGGGGGGAGGGUGGAAUAGCUGUUCUAAGGUUAUAUCGGGUUAUACUAGCUUAUUUCAGGAGUAGGAGAACUACUAUUCUCGGUACGAAAAAUAGUGUUUGGGAACAUAGGAGGGAACAAGGGCUACCAAACACUACCUUGAGGAACAGCCGAUGAUGGUGACGAUAAUCGCGGAGGAACGACUAGUGGCGCCAGUUGUGUAGGAAUGACCGAUGGUGGUUGCGAAGUUGAAAUAUCCUAUGAUGAUGGCACAGGGCAACUUGUGGAGGUGGCGGCGGAACAACUAGGCAUUUGAUGCAGGACAAAUCAGGAAAAUCCUAAUUUAUCUUGCUAAUGAUGAGCCCAAAUUAUGUUUAAAACCAAAUUUAGAAUUUUCUAGAAAAUUUAGGGUAAUUUUUAGUUUUUUCUGAUGUUUAAAAUUUUAAUGAAUUUUAAAUUAAUUUUGGGAAUAAACAAAUUCCAAAGAAAGAAGUACGAUUGCAGCAAGGUUUAGACAAUUUUUCUUUUUUGUAAUUUUCUUUAAAAACGAAAAUUAAGAAUAAAGUGAAUAAAAUAGUCGAUAAAUAGGGAAAAUUUAGAAAAUUUGUUGAAUUGUUUUAGAAAAUCGGAAAAGCAAAUUUAGAAAAAGAAUAAGAGAAAUAGAGAAAAGGAGAAAAGGUGAGGAAGGAAAGAGAAGAUAGAGCCUCUUCGGAAGAAGAACUUUGCUGGCGCAUAUGGUAGGGAAGGAGAAGGAUAUUGUCCAAGAAAUCCAUCACCCAUGGUGAAGUCAACUUGACGAAGAAGCAUGCUUUUGUCCACCUUCUCCAACUUCACAAUAUUAGUUAAUUUACGAGGUAUGAAUUUUAUUUUUGAUCCAGCACAGUCAAACGAAUAAGUAUUUUUAUAUUUGUCAUGCCAUUUUAUGAUCAUACAUGAUACAUCCAUGGCCUUCUAAGUAGUAUAUGUGCGACUUUCAUAGUUAGAACAUCACACGAGACUUGUUGAAUUAACUUACCAAUUGAAUAUAUAACUAGGCACUAUUCUAGUGACUUUCAAAUUUUGGUUAUUCACCCAUGCUAAUUUGUAAGGCUCUGGUUGCGGUGUGGUCUUCGGUCUCAAUUUGUCAACGGCUUCUUCAGAAAUAAUGUUGGCGCAGCUUCCCGAAUAUAUAAUCAUUGAACAAACUUGUCCAUUAUAAAGAACUCGAAUUGAAAGAUAGUAUGGCGUUUCAACUCUUUAUCGUCUUUCGUCACGUGAGUUGAGAGCAUAGGCUUAAUAACUCCACAAUGUUCAAGACUUUCAUCAUAUUCGAGCUCGUGCACUUCAAUAUUAUCAUCAUCAUCUUAUAGUAUGACGUAUAAUUUUUCAAAAUCAUCGUCAUGUGCUUGAGCCGUUGCUAAGUUAUGCUGUUAGACACUGGUGAGCAUAAUGCCCAGUCUUGUCGCACUUCAAACACCUACCUUUUUUCUUUGAUGCCUUUGAAGUUGAUGCCUUAGAGGACGCCUGAGAAGUUGAUACUGGUUCAUCUUUUUGGACAAGGUGUAGUGAUGCUCGAACCAUGACUCACGAUUACGUAGAAAGUUGCGCCACGUCGAUGAAACACGUGCUUUUUUCUCCUCCACAAUCCGAUGUGCGACUUGAACUACAUCAGCAGGAGAGGAACUGACUGGAUGCUAACUUUUUAGCUACAUUGGAAUGGAGGCCUUGUCGAUACAUGGUAAUCAGCAAAUCCUCACUCCAUGGAAUUCUUGAUCGUGUUGCUAGGUAGUAGAAGCGCAAAGUGUACUCCGCGACUGUUAUGCUACCUUGAGUUAACCGAGUAUGUUGGUAUUGAAUGCGCUAUCUAUAAUCAAUUGGUACGAAUUGACGUUUCAUAGCUCUUUUCAUAUCCUUCCACGUACGGAUAGCCAGAUAAUGAUGUUGUUGCUCGUGUCCACAAAUACUUGAUAUACAACGGAGUAUUGACUCUACAAUCAUAAUUUUUGAUUUUCCGUAGGCUGGUACUAGCAAACAUAUGCCUCUAGGCUAUGAAACUCCUAGACAUGAAACUUAACACCUUUUAAUUUUUUGUAGCUUUGGUAUGAGAUGUAGUAGUUUGAGUUUGCAGUAGGGUAUUUUUGAAUAUAUUGAGGUAUAACAGGAGAUAAUGUUGGGACGAAAUGUCACGCCCCGAGGUCCUUUUUUGGAUUUAAAAGUUGAUGCUGCCCAAAUUUUUUUUUUGAAACCUUGACCCCAGAGUAUGUCAGAUCCGCCACAAAUACAGAAAAUUCACUGUCCACACGAAUAGUCUCCCCUGUAUUUGCACGGCGUCGCAUAAGUACAAGAUACAACCACAAACAUUCACCAUUCACAUUCACAUUCGUUUCAUCACAGAUAUGUAUAAAUCAACAUCUAUUAGUUUAAAAUGUUUCCUAUCCGGAAACUCAUUUUAAAACACUAAGAGUCGUGAAAAUCAAUAAAACGUUUUCAAAACCGUUUCCCACACGGAAACCUUUUUCUUUAAAACACGCUACCACGAGGGGUAGAAAACCAUUUUUAUCUCAUGAGAAAACUAUAAGUUCUUUAUUACAUUCACAAAAAACUCAUUUAUCCAAUUUAAGCAAACCUAUGAACCAUAAAUACUAAGUCAAUUAUUAAAAAGACAGGUUUGAGGAUUUUAACCAAAACGGCGGGCCGAUAGCUCUAUCGCUCGCUAAGAUGCGCACCUCACGUACCGUCCCGACUCGGAUCCGUGACGUCACCUGAAAGGGGGUGGGGGGAGAGAACAUGUACACAUAUUUCCGUUCCCAGUGGGUACCGCAAGCCGACCAGGGCGAGGGGUACUCACUAGUCAAGGGAUAAACAAAGGUAUAGGUAAUGGUAAUACAGUAGCAAUAAUAAACAAAAAAGGAGAUGUAUAUAUAUAAAUCACUACCGCUACUGUAUACAUGCAUCAACCGGACCGCAAAUCCAAAAGUACCCAAUCAUAAACCUGUCAUAUCGGUCCGUAGACCUUAGGCCUGUGCCACAACUGCUCUAACCUGUAUAUGACCCUAGCAUAAGAUCCUGGGUCUGAAAAGCAAAUGACCCUAGCAUAAAGCUCCUGGGCCUGAAAGCAUAUAACCCUAGAAUAAAGCUCCUAGGCUCACGGGCUAGCACUUUUUCGGAAAAGAACACCCUCUUGCGGUGGCCAAAUCGUUGGUGUAUGUGAAAUGCGUACGAGCAAUGGCGAUCAAUGCUGAUAUGCUCAAUACCCAACCGUCGGCAACUAGCAGACAAUCACCGCCCUUCGGGGGCACACUGACCAAUAGGUCACGAACCGUGAGGAACACAAGUACCGACCACUCAGAUCAACUAGGAUGGAACAACUCAACAUCCUUCUGAAGGUAUGCAAAUAUCGACCACUCAAUAUCAACUAACAUAUAUACAUAAGAACCGACCAAUAGGUCACAAGAAUGUCACGUCAUGCAUCGGUAUAAUCCAGAACUAGCAGUCAGCCUCUAGCUGACAAUCCUAUUCCUUAGGGUGUACCGACCUGAUAGGUCAUCAAACGACAGGAGUCACAGAACCGACCGAAUAGGUCAUAGUACGAGUUAUAAGAACCGACCGACUAGGUCACAAAUAUCACAUGUAGUCAUAAACCUGCUUUACUUCUUCUACUCAUGAUGCUAGAUAGGUAAACUAACCAAGUAGAGCAAUAAGGAAAUAAUAAGGGUGCAAGGCUCAACAUAAUAUAUGCAAGGUAAUAGUAGGAGAAGGGUAGAAAGGAUGUCACCGAGCGUGCACCACUGUAUCGACUUUGGGUCGAAGCACCCACUUGUACGAAUGUCGUGCCUAUCUCUUGACUGCGGAAGAACAUCUAACCCACAUAUAGGAAACACUAAAUCCACAACCCCACCUGUAAAUCCACGGAAAUCGGUUUUUGAAAACCGAUUAUCGUAACUCGCCGGAAGUCUCGAAAAUCGCAUCGGGACUCUGCCGGGACCCACGAAGUGUCCCGAGACAUACCGACUCGCCCACGAGUCACCUGCUGCCACAAAACACAUCGUUUUGGAUGUCUUGGCAGCAAACACAAGAUCACACAUACAAAUAAUUAUCGUCGGAUAAUCGUUCGGAUCCGGGUUCUCGGAAGUGUCAAUUUUGACACCGGAACCCACCGUUGCUCCCCUGUCGUCUCCAAGCCCUUGAAACGAAAUAAGUAACUAGCCAAUAAGGCUCAGCGACUAAACAUAGGACAUUUUAACACCGUCGGAUGAAAUCUGAACCAAAACCGUGUUUUGCCGGCGAAUUUUGUCGAAAAACGCACCGAAAUCGAAAUUCGAUUUUCGCAAAGGGCUUCAGUCCUUGGACAAUCAGUCCAGAGGUCACCCGCACCCUACACGUACUGCCCACAGCAACCAUGAAGUGCACAAUUGCAUAAAAGUCCCCACUAAUACGUAAAAUCACAUUAUUUUAUGUGAUUUAUGGGGUUUUUGGGCUCUAUAUCGCAAACCGAGGCCUUUCAAGGUCGGACGAGACAUGUAUUGACAGGCCUCGAUGUGCCGAAGGCCGUGCUCACGAUUCGGAGCACAACCGUCCACUGUGGGAGGCGCAGGAGCGACCCGAAGUUCAGCGAACCCUGCGUGCUGAACCUAAAAUGCUCCUAAUUUCACUCAUCCCGGGCUCGUUGACCCUAAAUGAGGUGAGCACUGUGAUCAGCACUGAUCGAUGAUCACCGUGCAUGUCACGCCCCAAUCCCCGCCAAUUUGGUUGGGUUCGGGUCACGUCAACAGACGCCGAACGGACAGAGCCUCCCCUGUCCGCCCAAGGCUCUAACAACAUGUAUAGAUAGGCAAUCAACAAGAGAAUUGCAUAUAUAAUACAAGGCUUGCACGAGGGCAAGUAACAACGAAAGCGAAAGCUCUAAGCUAAUAUAUAACAUACAUGAUACUUGAUUUCAUUUGAACCAAAUAUAAGUAAAUAAAACUAUUACAUUUGCAUUCAAACAUCAUUUCCUUUUUACAUUUAGCCAUCCACCAAAAUUACACGAUUGUUUACAACUUUACAUCUCUAAAUCUACAAAAGAAGUUGAUGCAUGUAUAACGAAAGGGAAAUGGCUAUAAAUGUAUGAGUCCCGGUGGCCGCUAUCUACGGCGCUUUACCCUUGCCUCGGUCCUCCGCCGCCCCGCUCGUGCUAGGACCUGUAGGGUUAGUGGUGUGAGAACUACAACAAAGUUCCCAGUGGGCUCGGCAUCCGACCUCGCCGACUUACCCACUAGGUCUAUCCAGGCAUAAGUAUUUCAAAAGAGAGAAAGUAACCCUUACUAAUGCAACUAAUACUAUGCCUGCAAGAAAGAGUCAGUGGAUAUAUAAUUCAAUGCGAUAAUGGAAAUGCAUGUAUGCUUCAAUCAUAAUUAAGCUUUGGCUCUUACCCAAUCUUGCCGGUUAACUCUGUUAACCCCAAUAACUCAUAACCCAAAUCCCGUCAUAACAGGGGGCCUCGAACCACCCCUAUGGACCGUCAUAAGGGACCUCGCUCCCAAGGUGACUAUUUCCGGAAACUCACCGCUUGAGGGGGAGCUACCACCCUCAAGCCAAGACGUGUCAUGAGUAUCGAUCGAAUCCCCAAUUUGAGGAUGCUCAGCCAAUAGUUACCAUGCCACUUUUAUGCUAGGUUCUCUACCCUUUUGUUCAUAUCACUCGCUAACCAUUUUGUCCCAAUGUAACUUUGGUUAAACCUACGCUUAACACUUGUCAAUGCCAAUCCAUCUCUCUAUGGUCAGUGUCAUAGCUAUUUACCAUUGCCAAGUCCAAGCCUCUCAAUCAUGCAAUCUCUGGGGUCCAACAAUACAUGUCCUUCAUGGUUCCAUAUCUUUCUACUUUCCAAAAGCAUUAGAGAAGACAUAAUGAAACAACCAAUAGUUCACAUGUAAAUUAACCCUAUUAUGCAUGAGUGACUAUACAAUCAUAUGUUCAAAAAAAUAGAGAAACAGACAUAGAAGGGAAUCCAACGAUUCCGGCGUGCACCCCCCACCUUGUGAGGUAGUAGAAAACGAAUGCGACAGUCUCCCGAACCUUACGAACGACGUUCCGCGUCCUACAAUCCAAUAUGGUGCCAAAUUAGGCCCUUGUAUACAUGAACUAUUUUCAAACGUUUUCGUAACGUCAGACGGAGUUGUCCCACGUGUUUAGGACACCCCCAAUUAGGUUUCUACGGGGUCAAUUUGCCCCCGAAAGAUCCUAGGGCAAAAGCCCCAAUCUUCAAGCCCUAACAUGGUCAUUUAGGGUUUCCCCAUGAAUCGAUCCCAACCCUAAGCAAACAAUAGCUUAGGAUCAUAUAGAAGCAUCCUAGUGAGGUUUCUAGACCUUUGAUACCAACCCUAGGGCUUCUAUGGUGAACCCUAGCCAACCACCAUGAGAGCACUUGAGCUCCCAUGGGUUCCAUGGAGUUUAAGGCCUAUAGAAGGCUCCCAAGGCUAAAAACAACCCAAAACUCCAAAUCUUAGGGAUCAAAACCAAGCCCUAGACUCAUUUAUAGCAAAAACUCACCUUAGCCCAAGCUCCUCCAAGUCCCUCUUGUAGGAGAGCUUGUAGAACCCACUAAAGCUUCCAAAUCCACCUUCCCUUGCUUCUUCUUCCUCUCCUCCAAGCCCUAGAGCAAGAGUCCUCGAGAGAGAAAGAAAGGAAAUGAGAGAAAAGGGGAGAAAUGGCUGUGGGAGUGAAGGGGGUGAGUAUAUAAGGUGUUGUGACAAUUGCACUUAAGCCCCUCCACUUGUUUCCCAUUGAUCUGCCCAGACUGGGCAUUUUUCGCCUUCGGGGAUCGGUCUCCCCGACCAGGGACCGGUUCCCGAACGGGGGUUUUCCAGGACUUAGCCAAAUUUUCGGGUUUUUCAGCUGCUGCGCAGCGAGGGACCGGUCUGCCCUUCAGGGACCGGUCUCACCACCAGGGACCGGUUGCCUCAGGACUUCCUGGCAGGCUACGCGUACGGGGACCGGUCUCUUCUUCAGGGACCGGUCCCCGAGAGCACAAAAUCUGGGACUUAGUCAGAUUUCCAGAUUACUCUCUCGGGUCCCUUUUAGCUUCACUUAUGGACUCUAAUGUGCUUAGGGUCCACUCAAACUCAUUCAUCUCCGCGUUUCGUUCGUUUCGACGGAACUCGGCACGAUUUACGAGGGAUGUGGUAUGUUACAGUGCUCACCUCCGGAGGCAUCGGAAUAGUCCUGGGUUGUCGGAAUAGCGGAUACAACCCAAAAUAGUGCACAAACAACUUACUAAAAGCUUAUCGGGCAGGUGGAGGAUCGGGUACGGCGUGCGGCGGCUCGGCGGUCGGCGCGCCGGCGGCAGGUGAUGGCAGGCGAUGUAGGGAGGCUGAGGCGCGCGUCACCCAGCGACGAGAGCACGGCCCAAGUUUGGCCGACAGGGAGCUCCGGCGGCGGGAGAGCCAGCGGCGGAUGAGUGCGGCCGGCCAGGCGGAGCCGGCAGUAACGCCGGUCGGCGGCGGAAGGCGGCGGCGGCGGCAGUGGUGUUGGAGCAUCCCGAGCCUUCAUAAGCUUGGCUUGGGCAGAGCAGGUCGUAGUGGCCAAGGCGGCUGUUUGGGAGCUACGGGGCGGCGGCGAGGGGCCGUCGGAGGUCAGAGGAGGGCAAUGCAGGUGGCCCAAGACAGCGGCGGCGCGAGGGCCAAGAACUGCGGCAGCCUCGGCCUGAGUAGGUCUGGGCGGCCGCAGUUUGCCAGGAGCGGCGGCAACGGCACGCAGGGCCGGCGGCGACCGGCGGGCGGAGUCGCCGGAUGUCAAGGGAUGGUGGCGCGGCCGGUUCCAGGCUGUGGCCGCACAUGGGCUGAGGGCUGGCCUGGGUUCGGCCCGAGCUAGCUCGGGUUGGCCGUGAGCUGCCGAAACGGCGACGGCGGCUCGCGCGGACGUUGGUGACCGGUAGGGAAGGUCACCGGAGGCCGUAGGCACGACCAGGGGAGGAUCCUGACGACAAUGAGCCUCCAAAGAGGCAAUUGGCCAAUGUAGAGGAGGUUGAAGGUGGAGGGGUGCUAGCGAGAAAGAAACGGUCGACUCCGGCGGCCGGCAGCGUGUGCAGGCGGCCGGGGUGCACAUGGCUAGGGCAGGGGGAAGCAAGGGAGGCCGUUAGGGUUUCAGCUGGGGCUAGGGUUAGCUCGGUUAGGGUUUCCUCUAAGCUAGCCUCUUUAUAUAAGGUGGUAAAUUGCAAAUAAGUCCACCACUAGUCAAUAUUUUUAACCAAGUCCUUCACAGCCCGAGUAAUUCGUGCGGAUGUACCUCCGCGUUCGAAAUCACGCAAAAUGGUACAUAAAAUAUAGGAUGUUUUUGCGGAUUUUCCGUUUUGCCAAUUUUGAACCCUCAUCGAUCAACGCACGUGUCACGCCUCGGAUUACUCGUUCCCCGGGUACAGCAACAAAUUCGCCGUAUACAAAAGAAUUUCCCCUGUAUACGAAGCGAUAGCUGUACCUGUAAAACAUACAAUACUACAACCAGUAGUAUAGAGCUGUUGGGAAAACAUAUUCAGAUAGAAAAUAAAAGUUCACUAUACAUACAACAUCCAAUACACAAAAGCUCGUCCAGCGAGAAACAGCAAAAGUAUGUAUAUGAUCCCAAAAACUACAACUACCUGUAGCUGGUAAGCCUUUAGCUCGGAGACUCGAUUGGUAGGGCUCUAACUAGCAACACCCUUGCCACGAUCUGUCUCGGUAGAUGCAGCAGCCGGAACCGAAGGUUCUGCAAAAGAGGGGUAACAACUGGGUGUGAGAACUACUGUAAAAACAAGUAGUCCUCAGUUGGUACCGCCCUCAAAAUCAUCGGUUCAUCCACCAAGUCUGCAGAAGUAAGCAGGGAUAGUAAUAAAAGCUGGAAUAAAAUCUACAGCUAAAUGUUACUAUACUAUUAUACUCUAACACUAACCAUCUGUAGAAAAAAAAUGAGUCCUGACCCAGUCUCACUAGGGACUGUAAGCAUACCCGUCUCAGGGACUGCGAACACGCCUUGUAAUAACAGCUACCAGGCAAGCAUCGGGAUGGCACCGUACGAGGCUUUAUAUGGGCGUCGAUGUCGAUCUCCUAUCUGUUGGGAUGACGUCGGGGAACGCCGGUUGAUUGGGCCAGACUUAGUGGAGGAUGCGGAGGCAAAGAUCCGCAUUGCGAGAGAGCGGCUUCUGACUGCACAGAGUCGACAAAGGAGCUACGCGGAUCAGCGGAGGCGUGACCUAGAGUUUCAGGUCGGUGAGCAUGUGCUGCUCAAGGUGUCGCCUUCCAGGGGGAUCAAGCGGUUUGGUUUGCGGAACAAGCUCAGUCCGCGGUUUGUGGGACCGUUUGAGAUCCUAGAGCGCGUUGGUCCGGUAGCGUACAGGUUGGCUUUUCCUCUCAGUCUCGCUCGGGUGCACAACGUUUUCCACGUGUCCAUAAGUACAUUCCGUAUCCGUCCCACGUCAUCAGUCCGAUAACUAUUCAGCUAUAGGAGGAUCUAAGCUAUGAUGAGUCUCCGUUGCGAAUUUUGGCACGUGAGCUGAAGCAGUUGUGGAACAGGAGCAUUCCGUAUGUGAAAGUCCAGUGGGAGAAUCACGAGGAGCGUGAGGCUACGUGGGAGCUUGAGUCUGCUAUGCGGGAGCGUUAUCCGCAGUUGUUUGUGGGGGAUGUCUGAUUUAAGUUUCGGGGACGAAACUUUUUGUAAGAGGGGAAUGAUGUAAUAACCGAUAUUUUUGACAAUAUAAUUAAACCCUUUGUUGACGAUGUUUUGUGUGUAAUGUAAUUACGUAAGCACUCGUCAGAUUUCAGAAGAAAACGAGUUAAGAUGGAGAAGUUACGUGACCCGAACCGAUAACUGAAGUGAAUAGUAACUCCGGCUUUUCGGAUGAGCCAUGGAGUAGAGAGCGGUUCUGAUGCGUAUUGGACUCCGAUUAUAGGACUCCAAUAGCUCGUUUCGAACGGCUCGACCAUUCUGGACCCAAUGGCACUGACGGAAUUGGGUUCUGAUGCACGGUUGUCGAGAAAAAGGGGUUUGAUUGAAAUUACAUGUAUUAAUAUGAGUGGUUAUAUGGUGAAAACAAAGAGAAUAGGUCGGAGACCAAAUAGGACAAAACAAGAUACUAGAUUCGAUGCCCCAGUCGUGCUGAACGCGUUGGCGCAAUCCGUUCGGAAAUCCGACAGACGGAUCUUCGGGAAUCGCGAAAAGUCCGCUGAGGGGUCAAGUUGGCAAAAUGGAUAAAUCGCGAAAAAGACCCUAUAUUUUAUGCGCCGUUUUGCGUGAAUUCGAACUUCGAGGGACUUGUGCACAAUGUUCACCUACUGGCAGGGGACCUAGUUGAAAUUAAUGGACUACGGAGGACUUUUCAGCAAUUUUCACCUAUAUAUAAAUAUAGGAUAGCUAGGGUUUCAUAAAGGAAAACCCUAACCCGAGUCCACCUAGCUACCAGCUAACCCUAGCCGUCGUUAGCUUCAUCACCUAUAUAUAAAUAUAGGAUAGUUAGGGUUUCACAAAGGAAAACCCUAACUCGAGUCCACCCAGCUACCAGCUAACCCUAACCGUCGUUAGCUUCAUCCCUGACCGCCGGCGAGCUUCUCCGGCCGCCGGAGAAUCUUUCCGCACUACCCUCUCCCUCCCUCUCAGCCAACCACUCUACCAUGUUGUGGUUGCGGGUCUUAAGGUGUCAUCUAAGUCCGAGCGCCAUCAUCCCCUGGCCGAGACCAACAUCCUGCACUGUCGUCGGACGUUGCCGCCGUUAGCGCGCACCGUCGGAGCCAACUGUAGAGCGAGCUGUGGCCAGCUCGGGUCAGCCCAAACCGAGCAGGCUCGAGCUCGGGUUUCGUGUGCGGCCACCACUCCCCUUCGGCCGCGCCGCCCUCCAGUCGGCCCCGGCAACCUCCAGCAACCCCGUGCGCGCACCCCCAGCCGGCCCCGUACGCCGUCGGUCGCCACUGGGACCUUCUGCGGCCACCCAGACACCGUGCGGGCCGAGGCCGAUUCCCCUCGGCUCCCAAGCGCCGCCGCUGCCCACCGACGGGAGCACCACCUUCCCCUCGGCCUCCGGCGUCGAACCGUCACCGCCCUGAGCUCCUGCGGCCACCGCGUGGCCGCCGUGGACGUUGAACCCGAGAACUAGCUAAGGGUUUUGAUCUCCUCCGCCGCGCCACCGGCCGCCUCCCGCCGCCGGCCAGAGGGUUCCCCUGACCCCACCGACGAGCCGCAUCCUCCCCUGGCCGGGCCGCCCGCCGUCCGGUUGCCGGCAGUCAACCCUAGCUCCCUCGAGUCUGGUAAGGCUAUUUUAUGCUCCAGCACUGAAUUCCAAGGUUCCGGUCACCUUUCCGGUGAUCCGAUAAGCCUCCUGAACUUCGGGAAGUGAGCACAAUGAUCUACAACUCGUGCUGAACAUCAUGCUCACCUCCGACAGCGACAAAGAUGCCCUGGUUAGCGAGUUAAUAGCAAUCCUUGCACUGUGCGCGCAGUUCCACAGAUCUUCGCAUCGCUCGUGCGCACACCACAGUGGUCGGCAGUGCUCCGAAAGGUGAGCACGUCCUCCGACAUGCUGAAACCUAUCAACGAGUGCGAUGGUCUGAUUAAUCGACCUCUGGUUUGUGUGUACGGCCCAUAAAAGCUCCGAAACCACAUAAAAUGAUGCGAGUUUAUGCAUCGGUAAGGGCUUUUAUGCUUUUCGCUUCGUUGUGGCUGCUGUGGGCAGCAUGUACGUGCUGUGGGUAACCUCUGGAUUGAUCAUCCAAGGCCGCAAUCGGGGCGUUUUUAGGCGAAAUCCGCUGACGGAACGUGGUUUCAGUUCGGAAUUCCUCCGACGGUACUUGGCAAUUAUUUGCGACAUCGCUGAGCCUUGUUGGCUGGUCACCCGCGUCGUUUCGAGGGUUCAGAAGCGACGGGUGAGCGACGGUGGGUUCCGGUGUCGAAAUUGACACUUCCGGAAAUCCGGAUCGGAAUGAUUAUCCGACGAUAAUCGUUUCGGAGUGAAUUGAUGUCUUGGCUGCUAAGUCACACAUAAACAUGUGUUUAGUGGCAGCCGACGACUUGUAUCUUGAGUCGAUGUUUUUCGGGACAGUUAGUGGGUCCCGGCGGAGUCCCAAUGCAGUUUUCGGGACUUCCGAUGUGUUACGGCAAUCGUUUUGGGAAAUCGAUUCCCGUAGGGUUCGUUAGUGGGGCUUUGUAAGUUAGUGUUUGGGUUAGUGGGUUAGAUUCUAACCCGUUGGACCUUUCGUAGGUUUGGUUGUUCCGUCUCUGCAGUCGAGAGACCAGUUCCACAGUUAUACAGGUGGGUACUUCGAUCCGAAGUCGGUACAGUGGUGCACGCUCGGUGAUGGUUUCUUACCCUUACUCUCUCGUUGUUAUCUGGCAUAUAUGUAUCUUUAUAUAUAGUAUUGAGCCUAGCACCCAUGUUGUUUUGGUUAUACUCUACUCGGUUGUUUCCUUUAUAUCUAGUAUAUUAUGAGUAGGAGUAGAGUAGUUAUACCAUGUUUCCUUGUUGCUCUACUUAGCUGUUCUGCAUAUCCUGUAUCAUGUUUAGAGUAGAGCGUUUUCGUGUUUUCAUGUGAGAUUGGUAACCUAAUUGGUCGAUUCUUGUAUCUCAUAUCUGUGACCUAUUCGGUCGGUUCCUUGACUCCUGUCGUUCGAUGACCCUUGUGGUCGGUAUACCCUGAGGGGUGGGAUUGUCAGCUAGUGCCGACGGAUGAUUAUAGUUACACAGAUCCGUCAUUUGACACUAUGUGACCUAGUCAGUCAGUUCGUGACUUCCAUUGUUUGAUGACCUUUGAGGUUGGUAUACCCUGAGGGGUAGGAUUGUUGGCUUGUGGCUGACGAUAGUUCUGGAUUAUACACUCAGAUGACUUGUUGAUCGAUUCUUGCAUAUAUAUAUACUUUAGUUGACCCAUUGAGCAGUACUUGUAUACUUGUGAGAGGAUGUUGAGUUGUUCCAUCCUAGUUGACCUGAGUGGUCAGUUCUUGUGCUUCCUGACAGUUGAUGAUCUAUACGGUCGGUGAGCCCUGUGGGGCAGGAUUGUCGGCUGGUUGCCGACAGUUGACCUUUGAGCAUAUCAGCAUUGAUCGCCCGAGACUCGUUCGCAUUUCACGAAAACCAGCGGUCUGAUCCACCGCAAGAGGGUGUUCUUUUCCGGAAAAGUGGUUGCAGGUGUCGACCCGUGAGUCCUAGAGGGGUUAUAUGCAUGGUAGAGCGGCAGUGGUACUGUCGGGAGGUCUCCGGUGUGAACCUCCAGGGCACAGGCUUGAGGUUCCGGUGCGGACCAACAAAGCAGCAUAUUUCAGAUUGGGUAUAUUUGGACUUCCUGUUUGGUUGAUGCAUAUAGCUAUAGUAGCGGUUGUUGCUUGUAUACCUUCAGUUCUUUCUUUACACUUAUCAUGCUACUAUAGUUUUGUUGCAUGUAUACAUUCAGUUGUUCAUUACAGUAGCGGUAGUUGUGCUUUAUAUAUAUAUAUAUAUCUCUUUUGUUCAUUAUCGUUGCUACUGUAUUUUUACUUACCCAUAUUGUUGUUUAUCUCUUCGUGAUUCGGUGAGUACUCGCCUUCGUCGGCUUGCGAUACCCACUGGGAGGGUAAGACAGUCGUAUUGCGGGCGGUGAGUGUUGAGACGAGACGUAAGACAGUCGUAGCGGUCGAUAGAGUUUCUGGCCCGGUGACAUUCAGUAUAGUUUCUAUCUUUUCUUACUCAAAUUAAAUAGCUCUGAUACCAAAUGUAAUGACCCAGCCCACUAGCAAUAAUAACUCGUUGGGCUCAACCACCGGCCCAAAAUGCUUAAGCCCAGUUUUUAUUACUAGUGUCUAAGUCUCUUAUAAACCCAAUGACAACCCCAUUCCCAUCCGAUGUGGGACUAUUGGGGUGUCACAGACUCCCCUGCCAUUCCCAUCCGAUGUGGGACUAUUAGGGUGUCACGCCCCAAGACCGCUACCAAUUUGGUCCGGUCCGGGCGCGUCGAACAGACGCCGAACGGACAGGACCUCCCCUGUCCGCCCAAGGCUAACCAACUGAUCAUGUAUAAGAAUUUACCCAGGAAUCAAUUCAUAAAUACACGAUCAAGAUGCACUACCAGUGCAACGACCAAGAGCAAGAUACAAGUAUGGGAAUAUACAAGUACAUAAAGAGAGAAGAUGCUAGCUAUUAUAUUCAUUCGACUUAAUAUAUAUAUAUUUAAUUACAUCUUUUACAUUCUUUCAAAAUAUAAAUACAAUCACUCGAACCUCACCCUAUACAACAUCUACUCUUAAAUACAAAAAGGGUGACAGCUAAUACAAAAGGGAGGUAGCUAAUGCGGCUAGAGCGCCGGGCCCUUACCGCGAUCCUCACGCUCGUCGGGAACGCCCGAACUCGAACCUGUAAAAAAAGUGGGGUGAGAACUAUCUUCCAUAGUUCCCAGUGGGUUCGGCCGCUGACUCCGCCGGUUCCCCCACUAGGUCCAAGUGGGCACAAGUAGAUAACCAGAUAGAUAAAUAGGUAAUAAGCAAAGCGGUAAAGACAGGAUAGUGAAGCUACACUACUAUGCCCGAAUCAUAAACAUAUGGAUGCAUGUACAAUGAAAUGGUAAGCAACUAAGCCGUCAAUAUGUCCAAAAAGUAAAGCUAUGCACUUAUUCAUCAAUCUCAUUUACUUGUUUCUUAAUCUCGUGGCUUCUCUGAAAGCUCGCCUACUGCUCACUAGCCAUCUCGAAAGUAGGGAGGGUCAACUCGCACUACGAACCGAGACCGUCUGCCGGGACCCAAAAUAGGCAAUCCCUUGGGACCCAAAAUAGGCAAUCCCACGUGACCAACUCCGGAGCGCACUUCUUGUGUGAGGCUUCCAUCACAAGUUAGAAACAGACCGUGAGCAUGAUCCAAUUAUCUCCACUCUAGGGUACCCUAUCCUCUAGGGUCACUACCAUCAUGUAGUCCAUAGGCGUCGUAUACACCAAGUUUAACAUGUAUCACUUGUUUUCUUAUACACUAUCAACUAGAUUGCCACUCGUCUAUUGUUUAUUAUCGACUAGAUGCCACUCGUUCUUUGUUUAACAUUAGACCAACCAUUGAGCCCAUCUCUUUCUCUGCACUAUAGGAUUUAUAACUUUCGACCCAAUCCUUAUCGAUCCACUAUGUCAAGUAUCCAAUACAUGCUACAAUAUCAUCAAGGAAAGCAUAAGGAAAGGUAAUGCACAAUCAUCCUAUAAUGCAAUAAUACAAGAUGCAAGAAUCGAAAUGUACUAAGACAUAGAAGGGGGGCCCAGUUGCUUCGGGAUGGUCACCACCCACCUCUUGGUGAUGCCGCGAUGAUAGAAAACUCGACGUUGCGGUUCUUGCACGUCGCCCUAACUCCUCGGGGCGAAGCGAGCCCUCAAGUACCCGAUUCGGCGAUUUCUCCGCACCCGCUCGUCGGAUUGAGAAACCGACUUCGCCGACGCGUUCCGGGACUUAGCAAUUAGGUUUGCGACCUAUUGGACUAGAUCAAAACCUUAGAUUCCCAAAAUCCCAAUUCCGUGCCCUAGAAUGGCAACGGGGAAGAAAUCCGUGGUGCGGGCUUCAAUUGCGAGCCCGAUCCAUCUACUUAUCUUCUCUAGGUUCCAUUCGAACCAAUUCUAAACAACAAAAACCCCAAACCCUAGAAAUACCAUUAGAGGGUCUAGAGCUUACCUUCAAACCAAGGCUCCAAGCUUGCUCUAGCUUGAAGGAGAGAGGGAAGAAGAUGAUCUUUUUCUUCUUCUUGAUUUUCUCUUUCUCUUUUCUCUUCUUUUCCUUCUUCUUCUUCUUCUCCUUCUUCUUCUUUUUCUUUUCUUCUCUUUCUUUUCUUUCUAGAGAGAGAGAGCAAAAAGUGUGAGAGGGAGAGAGAGGGCAAAUGAGAGGGGGAGAGGGGUCCCCAGCCUCUAUUAAAGGCCAUUUUGCAGAUAGCCCCCUCAACUUUUCAUCCUCUGAACCAACCCUCUCUGGGCAUUUUCGCAGUGAGGGACCGGUCCCAGCUCAGGGAGACCGGUCCCCGAAAGCUGAAAUUUCGAGCAGAGGGGUUUUCGCGUUCGGGAACCGGUCCUUGCCUGAGAGACCGGUCCCUGGGAGACCGGUCCUUGUCCGAGAGACCGGUUCCCGAGAGCAACACUUUCGGGACUUAGCCAAAUCUCGGCUUCUCUCGCUGGGCCAACGUUCGGGAACCGGUCUUUGCCUGCCAGGGACCGGUUGCACCAAGGAUCCCCGCCAGCCCAGCCCGAUGGGACCGGUCCCUCCCUGCUAGGGACCGGUCCCCGAGAGCAAAUCUGCUCCAGUGCAGAUUUUGCACUUGGUGCUCUCGCGGACCUUUCCUUAAUGCACUUUAUGCAUUUUAAUCACCUUAGGACUUUCCGAAGCCUACACACUCGACAAUUAGUCGAUUCCAAUCGAAGUCUAAUCCUCGGAUUUCGAGGAUUCACUUUCUUACAUAGGGUGUCACAGACUCCCCCCGUUAAGGCUCUGACGUCCUCGUCAGUCCAAUCACACACACAGCCCAAGAUCAUCAGGCGAUGUGAGACUCGUCUCGCUAGCCCGUCAUCCAGACCCUGGCUUAGCCGAGACUCUCCACACAUGUCCAGCUGGUGAGCCGGCUCUGAUACCAAAUGUAACGACCCAGCCCACUAGCAAUAAUAACUCGUUAGGCCUAACCACCGGCCCAAAAUGCUUAAGCCCAGUUAUUAUUACUAGUGUCUAAGUCUCUUAUAAACCCAAUGACAACCCCAUUUCCAUCCGAUGUGGGACUAAUGGGGUGUCACAGAUUCCCCCGGUUAAGGCCCUGACGUCUUCGUUAGUCCAAUCAUACACAGCCCAAGAUCACCAGGCGAUGUGAGACUCGUCUCGCUAGCCCGUCAUCCAGACCCUGGCUCAGCCGAGACUCGCCACACAUGUCCAGCUGGUGAACUAGCUCUGAUACCAAAUGUAACGACCCAGCCCACUAGUAAAAAUAACUGGGCUUAAGCAUUUUGGGCCGGUGGUUGGGCCCAACGAGUUAUUGUUGCUAGUGGGCUGGGUCGUUACAUUUGGUAUCAGAGCCGGUUCACCAGCUGGACAUGUGUGGCGAGUCUCGGCUGAGCCAGGGUCUGGAUGACGGGCUAGCGAGAUGAGUCUCACAUCGCCUGGUGAUCUUGGGCUGUGUGAUUGGACUGACGAGGACGUCAGGGCUUUAACGGGGGGAGUCUGUGACACCCCAUUAGUCCCACAUCGGAUAGGAAUGGGGUUGUCAUUGGGUUUAUAAGAGACUUAGACACUAGUAAUAAUAACUGGGCUUAAGCAUUUUGGGCCGGUGGUUGGGCCCAACGAGUUAUUAUUACUAGUGGGCUGGGUCGUUACACGCCCAUCCCGCCUGCCAAAGCUAAAGCUACCUCUACCACUAAGCAGUCCGUGGAGAGCAAGUGCAAUCAGGACAUAACGACACCAAUGCAAAUACACAAAGCCCGACUCCGGAGUGGUACUCGUGGGCGCUAUCCAACCGAGUAUGCAAGCGUGUCUCUGUCGAGCUCAAUCAGGCUCUCACAGGCUAUAGUCUAGUAAAUAGGGUCUAACAAUCCCACUCACGUGCCCUCGGCACAAUCUGAUGCAAAAACUGCGAUCUGGGUCCACCGUCAACGCCGACGGGCACCCAACAGUCCGAAACAGCCUAGACAGUGAUGUAAAAAUAAGCUCGACAUCCCAGCACGAGCGUAAAUGCAUUCUAGACAGUGCCGUAAAAAUAAGCUCGACAUCACAGCACGAGCGUAAAUGCAUUCUAAACUACCCUGGGUAUCCACCACUCUGAAACUGCGGUGAUACACAAAUCACGGCUCUUAAAACUAAAUCUGGUAGUUUAAGCAUGUGAUCGGGUAGAAUCGCGAUUUUCUCCUAAGUCAUAUCCAAGUCCAACAUGUACAAAUAUAUAAUUAAAAAUACUAGGCUCCAAUUCAGAUUUUAAACAUGCCAAAUCCAUGAAUCGAGCAACUACAAUAUGGGAAACAACGCCACGAAUACAUGUCGACUAUAUAUGUACACUUAGAAGAUAAACCGACGAUUAACCCACUUCAAAAGCUACUCCCAAUCCGGCGUGAAGUUGAAACAACGGAACCACACGCUCGCCCGGCCUCCCCGCGACGCUACCAUGACGAACGCGCGCUUGAACGGCACCGCGGCUCCCAGGCGCGACGUCGGCGUCGAUCCGAGCUCUAACCGGGUCCUCCCAACACGUACGGCCGAGCCUAGAGAGAGAGAGGAGAAGAAACAUGCAAACACUCUCUCUCUCAGCUUCUCUACGCAUAUAAAAAGGAGUGGGAGGGAGGGUGACACAAACGAGGCAAGAAAAGACCAAAAGGCCCCUUACCUACCCUGGUGUAUUGGUACAACAUCAAUGUUGUACCGGUAAUCCGCAACAAAAUGGCCAACCCAAGAGCAGUUGCGCAGGAAAAUAUAUAGGGGUACUGGUACACCCCUUUGUAUCGGUACAGAAUACUGAAAAUCUGCAAUUUGCAGAUUCCAAUGCUAACUUCCUGCUCUCGCGUCCCACUAAGUCCGUUUUGCGUCAAUUUUGCGCCAACGCGACUCGGACUUGUCCCGACACUCUCCCGACGUGUUGACAAGCCUCAACUGCUGCACUCCAGGGAUACUACAGCAUGAUAUAAGAUCUGUCCGUCGGAUUUGCGGACGGAUCGUACCAGUGUGAUUAGCACGACUGAGACAUCAAACCCACGAUUUUGUUUCGUUCGAUUAGGUUGCCGAUUCGCGGCGAAAGUCAUCCUGUCUCCGAUUCUCUAAAACUCUUUUUUACGAUAAAAUCCCUUUUCCUUGAAAACCGUGCAUCAAAAUCCAAAUCCGUCGGUGCCAUUGGGUCCAGGAGAGUUGAACUGUUGAAAACGAGCUAUUGGAUCACUAUAAAUGGAGACCAAUACGCACCAGAAGCCAUCUCCACUGAUUGGCCUCUCUGGAAAACCCGAGUUAUUAUUCACCUUAAGUGAUUAGUAAAAGUCGCGUAACUUCUCUAUCUUAACUCGUUUUUUUUCUGAAACUUGACGAGUGCUUAUGUAAUUAAAUUACAUACAAAAACAUUGUCAACAGAGAGUUUAGCUUCAUUGCUAAAUUCUCAGUCCUUACACGGAAGUUGCGAAUGUUAAGGAGGAGCCCAUGGGUGGUGGAGGUUUAGAAUGAGUUAGAUUUUGAAGGAGUUAUUUGAUUUCGACUAAUUGUUGGUUAUUUUGAGCCAAGUUCAAAUUUGUUCGGUUUUUGCGGCUUGAAGAAAUUGCAAUUCAAUUUCUAACUUUUUGAAAUGAGUGUUGGUAGAAAGCCCAAAAUUUUCAAACAUUGAACUAAUCUCUGCAUUUGUCGGCAUUUUGAAAAUUAAUUUAUUGAUCAACUUCGGCUCUAAUAUCAAAAUUGAUGCAGAACAAAUUAGAAAAAUCCUAAUCUACCUUGCCAGUGAUGUGCCCAAAAUAUGUUUAAAACCAAAUUUAGAAUUUUCUAGAAAUUUGAGGGUAAUUUAGAGAAUUUCUUUGAUUUUUAAAGAUUUUAAUGUAUUUUAAAUUAAUUUUUUGAAUAAAAAAAUUCCAAAAAGAAGUCCCAAUAGAGCAAGGGUUCUAACAAUUUUUCUUUUUUGUAAUUUGCUUUAAAAAAGAAAAUUAAGAAAAUUAAGAGUAAACUGAAGAAAAUAGCUGAUAAAUAUGGAAAAGUUAGAAAAUUUGUUGAAUUGUUUUGGAAAAGUGGAAAAGCAAAUUUAGAAGAAGAAUAAGAGAGAAUUAGAGAAAAUGAGAAAAGACGAAGAAGGAGAGAGAAGAUAGUCUUUUAGGAAGAAGAAUUUUGCUAGUGCACAUGGCAGGGAAGGAGAAGGAGAUACCAUGACCAUAGUCAAGUUGUAAACACCGAAUUAAUUCAUCAUAACUCAUCUCCAAAAUUAAUUCAUCAUGACUAAUCUCCAAAAUUGCAAGAAAUUGGCUAUAUUUAUAGCCGUCAAUCUAUAACCCGAAUCUAAAACAAAUUCUACGAUUUUAGGGAUCUUUUAUAAUUCAAACAUACCUAAAAAGGUCUGAACCAUAUAUUUAGUUUUUAGGGAUUUAUUCCACAUAAUAAAUCCUAAAAAUCUUUACAAAACGACUAAAACAAAUUAACAAAUAGAAUAAUUUCGAAAAUUAUAAAAAAAAUUAAAACCUAAAAGAAUUAAUCCUAUCCACAUUCGAUUCUGCAUCAGCAUUGGUAGCUACGAAAUCGAUAUAAUUGGCAAUGGAAUAUUCAAUAGUUGCCACUUUAAAGUUGAAACGUUUGAUAGCGGUGGUGACGGCCAUUGCACGGGCAGGUUCGGUGGUUGCUGAUAGGUAUUGUUUUGUUGUUACUGCAUUAAUUAUGACUCGUGAUAAUCAUAGUACGAAUGAUGUUGUAAAUAUGAAAUGUGUGAUCCACGACACAAGAAAAUUUAAUUUUUUAAAUGUAAGCCCGUGUUAAUUGCCUCCAUGUUAAAUCGUCGACAUCAUCUUUAUACCAUCUAACCCAUUGUUUUUCUCUAUCCGCCCGAUAGUAUAUUAUUUCACUAAGCCUAUUACUAGAAUUCUUUCUUGAUCACAAAUAUUUCUCCACAUGAUUUAACCAAUUUAGAGGUUCUUCUUCUUCAAAUGAACUUAAUAUCUUAGGUUCUGCUCUCAUCUUGUACAUGUUUUGUUUUCUCAAGAUGUAAAUUAUUUUCUGAUUUUUUCAAUAAUUUUUUUUAAAGUUUUCGGAUUAAAGAAUAUUAUUUUAGUUAUUUAUUAUUAUUUUUUUUCAAAUUGUUGUUUUUUUAAAUAGAAAGAUACUUUGGGGGAUGUUUCGAGAGCAACAAUUUUUUGUUUUUCUUCCAAAGAGGCUGUACUAUGUACGCUUUUGUAAAGAAAAUUAAUUUUUUUAUACAUUUUAAUUCUGAAAAUUUUUAAGAAUAAUAGAAAAUUCAAAAAAUUAUUAAAAAGUUUGGAAAAAUUUAAAUUCUUCUUACAGAUAAAAAACUCAAAGGGAAGUUGGAAGUUGCACGCUUUGUCUUCGAAAACUGCUCUGAUCAAGUGGAUUCAUUGUGUCUCUUACUUUGCCCCCGCAGGUAAAGCUGUUGACAGAUAACCCUAAAAUCGAACUUGCUCCAAUACCGAAUUGUUAGGAUCUCACAUUCCUAACUGUAGUUUUGGUACCGAUAGAUAAAUUUAACUUCUCUGUUGGAUGCUUCUCCGCUCCAAGGGGAAAAGGGACCUUCUCUUCUAAUUUAGCCCAAGUUAGAAGCUAUUAAAAAGAACUCACUUCUUUAUUAACAAAAUUGAUCAUUCAUUAACAGGAGAGCCUCCUGUUUAUUAGUCUAAAAUUAUUUUAAUAGUUUUAAUCUGAUUAGGAAAAUAAAUGAGAAUAAAAUAAGUUGAAGGAUAAUUCUAAUCUAGUAGUUAUCUCAAAUAAAAUAUUAUUUCCUAUAAUAAUAAGUAAAUAAUUCUAAUAAGAAAAAGACUGAAAAUCCGUAUUGGGCUAUGAUCCGAUAGUGAUCGUAACAUGCAUACUCUACUCUCUAUUGUACUAUCAAAUGAUUUAUAGGCCUUGUUUGUUAUCGUUGUUUUUUUCCCCUUAUUCUCUUAAAUAUAAAUUUUUAUGUAAUACAAAUUUUAUGCAAUCCGCACAUUUAAGGGGUUUGUUUGGUGUUAAAAUACAAAAACUUGGUGGUAACUUUUUUUUUUUGCUAUUAUGUUUUUUGAAGAAGAUGCCUUCCCAUGUCUGGCUGUGUUGCAUUCCAAUCUAGCCAAUGAUGAUUGGUUGUGAAAACAGAACAAAACAUCAACAACACCAAAUGAAUGCUAAGGAUUAUUUAGCUAUUUUAGGCAUUAGGUCUUCAGAAUUUGCUAAACCGACCUUUAUGUGAAUUGGUUAUGAAGUUUAUUUUCAUAUUCUAUUUCGGGUUAGUUUAUACAGCUUGACAUGUAUUGACUUUAUAAUCUAUAUGUUUGAAAUGCAGCUGUCAUGAGGUCUGUGGGUGGAAUUAAAGAUCAAAAGAAGUGGAGAAGUAUUUGGGAGGCUGGUAAAGUCAUUUACACGUUGUCAACCUGGGGAAUUGCUUUGGCAGGGUGAGCUUUAUUUUAUCUACUUUUGAUUUGCAUAUGGGCACCUUUUGCUUUGACAUCUUAAAAUUUUUGUUUGAGCGCCUUAUUAACAAACAACUAAAUGGCCCAAGCUUUGUCUGUUUUAAUAUCCUUUCGGAUUUCAACUAAAUGACCCCAAGGCCCAAGCUUGGUCUGUUUUAAUAUCCUUUCCGAUUUGUGUUAGCUGGUGCUUUUAUUUGAAGGGUCAGGCUAGGGCCUUGGAUUUGUUAGGUCAGGACUUGACCCAUGAACAAGGUUACUACGAUCUCGGUGUGAGCAAUACUUGGUCUUGUCGGAGCACCGAAUUGAACCGGAUUAAUUUGGUUAAUUUGGUUCAGUUCUAUCAGUGUCUCACUUUAGUUGGGUCGCGCACAUGAAAACUGAAUAAAUGGAAAAAACUGAAUUUACCAAAUAUAUAGCAGUUUGAAGUAUUAAUCAUUUAGAUGUAAAUAUUCAACCACAUUUGUCAGAUCAAAACUAAGUAUGGUAGAAUGUCCUAACAAGUUAUCCAGUGAUAACUUAUGCCCCGGUGGAAUAUAUAUAUAUAUAUAUAUAUAUAUAUAUAUAUAUAUAUNGAAAAAUCGCAAAAAUUAUUUUCUAGAAACUUCAAAUGCGCUAGAUCAAGUCUAACGGAGCCGAUCGUCGAUUCGAAAACUCCAUCAUCGAAAACGGCUCAGGAGCACGGAGGCCUCCGUGCUCCUGAGAGCACAGCAGCCCUGCUCUCUCUCUCUAUAUAUAUAUAUAUAUAUAUAUUUGUCAUUGCAAGCUACAUGUUUGCUUUUAGGUCAUGCAAGUUCUUUCGCAGUCAUGAUUUUUCAAGAUAAUGCAUUCCACUUGUGAGGUGAUUUGUCUUAUUGCAAGAAAAUGGCUAGGCUGCAUAUAUUAUGCUGUUGCAGCCUUCUAAUCAUGGUUCUCAUAGUUCCUAUUACUGUAUUUCCCUUGAGAAACAAAAUCCAUGUGCCGAACAAGAUGUUCAUACAUCUAAACAUGCCCUAGUGGACAAGAUCAAUCAAUAAUAUAUUUUAUAUAAUAGGGACGUAAUCAAUGAAGUCUAAACCAAAUAAACCAAUCAAACUGAACUGAAGUGUUUCAGCUCUGUUUGGUUUGGUUUGUGUUUAUAUUUGUUUCAUUUUAGUUGACAAAAACAUUCUAAAACGCAAACCGAACUGUCUAAUGCUCACCCCCUAUCACCGAAAGGUCUCCACCCUCAUACAGACUAUGGUGGAAAGAUGCUUGAGAUAAGAGUGAGUCAAGGCUGCUCAAUACUUCGUUUCAACAUCCUUUUUUAUACCAGGGUUUUGAUUGAGCCACAGUAGAAGGAAUAAAGGGCAUGGGAAUAUCAUAUCAGCAAUUUCACAUGAGGUGCUGGGGUUGAGAAUAUUUGUGCUUGGCAAAGUAAUAUCUUAACUUAGCCCUUAAAACUCUUUUCAUUAUUUUCCUUGCCCUAAAAUUUCUCAUGUUCCUUUUUAACCGUUUGCACCAUCACAGCACCAAAUUUGCAUAUCAGAAUUAUAUAUGGUAUAAUAUACUUGGACGUAACACUUUUAAAACGUGGCUACUAGGUUCAUACAGACUCAUAUUAGUGAGCAUGGAUGAUAGAACUUUGUGGCUAUUCACAAGUAGGGUGGCAAUCCAGCUUGCUAUUCGCGAGCCAACUCGUUUCGACGCAAAACGGGCUCAAGAUAGAAUUUCUACUUUUAUAAACGAGUCAAACGCCUAGCUAGAAUUUUCAGCUUGAUAUCUACAUAUGUAUGUGUACAUGUAUAUAUACGCAUUUAUAUGUACAUUUGCAGUAUGCAUAUAUAUGUAUAAAUAUUAUAUAUAUAAAUAUUAUAUGUAUAUAUUAAUAUUAUACAUAUACGUAUAAAUAUUAUAUAUAUAAAUAUUAAUAUUAUGCGUGUGUGUAUAUAUAUAUAGAGAGAGAGAGAGAGAGAGAGAGAGAGAGAGAGAGAGAGUUGAGCUAGAAUACUAUCAAUAGCAAACGGGCUUCAUUGCCACCCAUUUGUUUUCGAUGAUGGAGCCUUCAAAUUGAUGAUCGGCACCGUUGAACAUGAUCCAUACCACUUGAAGUGUUUAGAAAUCAAAUUUCAUAUAUUUUCGACAUUGUUCUCUUAUCCAUCGAGUGGACACAAAAAUGAAUGGCUGAAAAUGAAUAUUCUUUAAAAAUGAUGAUAGGAGUCUUGUAAUCAAGAUCAAGAGUAUAGACCUUGUUUUAAAUAGUUUAAAGAAUUUUCUAACAAAAAUUCAAUUGAUUUGGAUAUCUUUACGCCGUUAAACGAGAAAACGCCUCAUAUCGACCAUUAAAAUUACAAAUUUUGAAACCCUUUGAUUAUUAGGCAAAUGAUGUAAAAAAUAUUUGAAAUUUGAUUUCUAAACACUUCAAAUGGUAUAGAUCAUGUUCAACGGUGCCGAUUAUCGAUUUGAAGGCUCCAUCAUCGAAAAUAAAUGGGUGGCAACGGAGCCCGUUUGCUAUCGAUAGUAUUCUAGCUCAACUCUAUAUAUAUAUAUAUAUAUAUAUAUAUAUAUAGAGUUCGGCUGCUAUGCUAUCGAUAGAACCAAGCACUUGGUGCUAUCAAGUUUUCUGCCGUUAGAUUAAUCCCUUUGAUUAGUUUUACCCGUUAGAUUAUACUAUUCAACUAACCAUCCACUCAACCUUAGGGGGUCCACAUCAUCCUAACCGCAUAUUUCUCAAUCCAAGGGCAAGAAAACUAAAAGCACCAAUAGCUUGGUGCUAUUGAUAGUAUUCCAGCCUAGUUAUACACACACAACGUGUGUGUACAUAUAUAUACUCUUAGGAGCACGGAGGCCUUGGAAGCACUAAGCCAUUUUUCGAUGAUGGAACUUCCUAAUUGACGAUUGGCUCCUUUAGACUCGAUCUAGCAUUUUUGAAGUAUGUAGAGAAUAAAUUUUGCGCUUGUUUCAUAUCUUUUACCUAGUGAUCGAAAGGGUUCAAAAUCAAUAAUUUUUUAUGAUUGAUUUGUACCAUUGUAAGUUUAGCUGUGUAGAAAUAUCCAAAUCAGAUGAAAUUUUGAUAGAAAAUUGUUUAUACAAUUUAAAAUAAGAUCAAUAUUUUUGAUAAAAAAUUUUAGUAUUAUAUCGUCACUUUUUAUGCGAUUUUUAUUUUCAGCCGUUGAUUUUGAAUCCUUUCGAUCACUAGGUAAAAGAUAUGGAAAAGGCGCAAAAUUUAUUGUCUACAUACUUCAAAAACGCUAGAUCGAGUCUAACGGAGUCGAUCGUUGAUUCGGAAGUUUCAUUAUGGAAAAUGCCUUAGGAGCAUUGAGGCCCCCGUGCUCCUAAAGAGCACAGCAGCCUUACUCUAUAUAUAUAUAUAUAUAUAUAUAUAUAUAUAUAUAUAUAUAUAUAUAUAUAUAUUGUCAUGCCCUCGACCGCACGACCCGAAAACGGUACCUAUUUGGACCGGUUCGAGGGCGGCGGGCGUGAGGCCGAACGGACAGAGUCUCCCCUGUCCGCCCAAGGCUAACCAACAAGAUUGUGUUCAACAAGUCUCCAGGAAGGAAAACAACUUAAUUUCAUACACAAUCAAAAACGAUAACACAAAUAGUGUUAAAACCAUCAAGAGCAAGCGAUACUAGUAAAAGCAUACAAGUAUACAAAAGAGAGAAACUUAACUAUUUGAACCAUGAACUAGAAGCAUUUAAAUACAACUUGUAUUAAACUUCAUUUAAACCUUCAUACAUGUUUUCCAAUCUUUUCCAUAAUGAAAAUACAUCCAAAAACUCUCCAAAACCUCACCCUAUACAACAUCUACCCUCAAAAUAUAAAGACAGGGUGGAGCUAAUGCAAGUAGGAAGUAAGCUACCAACUGAUACCGCUAGGGCGCCAAGCCCUUGCCGCGAUCCUCCCGCUCGGUCGGGACACUCGAACUAGCGCCUGCAACAACGGGUGUGAGAACUACGAAUAGUUCCUAGUGGGUUCGGCCGCCGACUCCACCGAUCUACCUACUAGGUCGAAGCAGGUAUAGAGAGAUAUAUGCAAUAUAUAUAUAAAGCUAAACCAACUAAAAGCAGGUAUGGAAAUUAAGCAAGUAAGGAAACGUAAGCAAGUAGGUAGAAUCAUGAAUAUCUAGCUAUGCCUCAAUCUGAUAUCAUGCAUGCAUGAACAAUAAUAAAGCUAUGUGGUAAGCUGCUAUGAACAACAACAAGAAGUUAAUAUGAACAACCAUAGAGAAGUUACUAUAAACAGCAAGUAAUGAGUGUGACUCAAUAAGUUACCCAAUCUCAUGGUGAACUCGAAGUUCACAAGCAUUAGUCACGUGUAAGUCUCAUAGGGAAAGUCUCACUGAACUACUCCCGAGACCGCCUGCGGACAGCACACAGACCGUUCAGACAGCACACUGACUGUCCCUCUAGUGACCAACCUUCGGAGUGCACAGCUUGCGGGGAGCGACCCCUCCAAGCGCAGACAGGCUAUGUGAGCACGAUCAACUCACAAUCAAUAGUGUCCUACCCUCUGAGGGUAAUUUCGUCAUAGAAUCAUGGUGUUCUAAUACUCAAUCUCAUAGCAUUUCAGCUACACUAGGGUUCUCAUGUCAUAAGCUAUCAAAAAUCAUAAGCCACUCGUCAUAGUUUUCUAUGUUAGAUGUCACUUGCCAUUUUGACUCAUUAUCAAAACUAGUUACAUCGUACUAGUUCUUUAGCAACAUAAAUAUUAAUCAUCUCAUAUAGGGUCUAGGUUUUCAUCAUAUAGUUUUCAUGCAUACUAGAUCAUGGAUCAAUCAACUAAACAUAUAGCUACUAGCAUGCAAAUGUAAACAACAACAAUCAUCUACUAGCCCUAUAUGCACAUGAUUAAGAUGCAAUUAGAUCAACAUUAAACUUGGACAUAGAACGUAGCCCCGCGGCUUCGGGAAGGUCACCACCCACCUUGUGGUAGUGCCGGAAAGCUAAGAAACUCGGCGUCGCGGUCCACGUGCGCCGCUUCAACACCUUGGGUCAAAACGAACCCUAGAGCGACCAAAUCGGCGAUAUCUCCGCGCUCGCUCGCCGAAUCGACGAACCGUCUUCGCCUACGCGUUCGGGAGCAUAACAAUUAGGUUUCCGACCCAUCAAAAUAGAUCAAAACCCAAUAUUCCCAAAAAUUCCAAAAUCCAACCCUAGGUUUAGCACCCAUGGGAAACCAUGGUUUCUAGCUUUAAUGUGAGCUAAAUCCAUGUCCUCUAAACUCAUUAGGUUCCAUUUGAACCAUUAAAAGCAACAAAAACCUCCCAAAUCCUAAAAAUCACAAGUUAGGGUUGAGGCUUACCUCUAGGGUUUGCUCCAAAGCAAGCCCUAGCUUGAGGAAGAGGAGGGAGAGAGCUUCUUCUUCUUCUCCUUGAUCUUCUCCUUCCUUUCCUUCUCUUCUUCUUCUUCUUUCUCUCAUUCUUCUUCUUUUCUUCUCUUUUCGGUUUAGAGAGAGAGAGAGCUAUGUGAGAGGGAGAGAGAGUGGCUAAGAGUGAGAGAGAGGCUGAGAGAGAGAGGUGUUAUAACCCUCUAAUGUAACAAAAUCCCAAAAGCCCCUCUACUUUCUAAUUUCCAAAGUAGACCUACAGUUUCGGGUCCCUUGUACUGGUACACGGGUUCUUGUACCGGUACAAGGCCUGGCAAACAGCCAAACCCGAGAGCUUGGUUUCUCGGUUUCGCAGGGCUUGUACCGGUACAGGACCCCCUUGUACCGGUACAAGGUCUGGCAGCUCCAACCCGAGAGCUGCGAUGGUUGUACCGGUACAACCAUCACUCUUGUACCGGUACAACAGCUCCAGAAUGCUAUUUUUCACCUCUUUUCGGCUCUACCUCCCGCCGAUCGAUGUCAAAACCAUUCCAACACCUUUGGAACUCAUUUUAGCUCUUCCAAACUUGUUGGAAUACCGAAUGGAACUUGUCCAAACUGUUUAAUUGCCUACUUUGGUCCAUUUGGCCAAAGUUAGCCAAAUUCCAUCGAGAUUCAAUAUCUCACAUAUAUAUAUAUAGAGCUAGGCUGACAUACUAUCGGUAGCACGGAGGCUUCUGUGCUACCAAGUUGUUUUCAAUGAUGCGGCUUCGAAAUCGAUGAUCGGCUCCGUUAGACUUGAUCUAUACUAUUAAAAGUAUUUGGAAACUAAAUUUCAUAAUUUUUCGAUAUCAUUUGGCUAGUGAUCAAAAGGUCUCAAAAUUGACAAUUUUAAUGGUAGAUUUGAUGCGUUUGUGAAUUUAACGGUGUAAAACAAUCCAAAUCUGAUGAAAUUUUUAUAGAAAUUUUUUUUCACUAUUUAGAGUAAGAUUAGUAUUUCUGAUCUUAAAUUAAAGUCUUUUAUCAUCAUUUUUUAUAAUAUAUAUAUAUAGAGCUAGGCUGGUAUACUAUCGGUAGCACAGAGGCCUCCGUGCUACCAAGUUGCUUUCAAUGAUGCGGCUUCCAAAUCGACGAUUGGCUCCGUUAGACUUAAUCUACACUAUUGAAAGUGUUUGGAAACUAACUUUCAUAAUUUUUUGGCAUCAUUUACCUAUCAAAUGAGUAGUUUAAAAAUGAACGGCUCAAAAUAAAAAUCUUAUAAAAAAUGAUGAUAAAAGACUUAAAUUUAAGAUCAGAGAUACUGAUCUUACCCUAAAUAGUGAAAAAAAAUUUCUAUAAAAAUUUCAUCAAAUUUGAAUUGUUUUACACUGUUAAAUUCACAAACGCAUCACAUUUACCAUUAAAUUUGUCAAUUUUGAGACCUUUUGAUCACUAGCCAAAUGAUGUCGAAAAACUAUGAAAUUUAGUUUCCAAUACUUUCAAUAGUCGUAAUCAAGUCGAGACGAAGCCGAUCGUCGAUUGGAAGCCGCAUCAUUGAAAACAAUUUGGUAGCACGGAGAUCUCCGUGCUACUGAUAGUAUUCCAGCCAAACUCUAUAUAUAUAUAUACAUAUAUGUAUAUAUAUACAUAUAUAUACAUGUACAUGUACAUACGCAUGUGUAUGUACAUGUACAUGUACAUACACAUGUAUAUACAUACAUGUGUACACAUGUAUAUACAUACAUGUGUAUGUACAUGUACAUGUAUAUAUAUAUAUAUAUAUAUAUAUAUAUAUAUAUAUAUAUAUAUUAGUAUAGAGUAAGGCUACUAUACUCUUAUGAGUAUUGGACCCUUCAUAUUCUUAAGUUGUUUUUGAUGAUGGGGUUUCCGAAUCGACGAUCUACUCCGUUAAAUAUGAUCUAGAGUAUUUAAAACUUCUAAAAAAUAAAUUUCGUAAUUUUUCGAAAUCAUAAUAAAGUCCAUCAAACGGGCAUCAAACGGGCAUAAAAUGAACGGUCAAAAUCGAACGACGUCCUAAAAAUAGAUGAUUGGAUCCUUCAAUUUAAGAUCGGAGUUAUUGAUCUUUAUCUAGGUAGUGAAUAGAAUUUUCUAUCAAAAAUUCAACCUAUUCCAAUUCUUUCACACCGUUAAACUAGCAAGUAUCCUAUUCCGGCCGUUAAAAAUUGUCAAUUUUGUGAGCUUUUGAUCGUAAGGUAAAUGAUGUCGAAAAAUUAUGAAAUUUGAUUUCUAGAAGUUUUCAAUGCUCUAAAUAAUGUUUAAUGGUAUGGAUCGUUGAUUCGGAAGCUCUAUAAUCGAAAACAACUUAUGAGUACGAGGGCGAUCGUACUCAUAAGAGUACAGUAGCCGGACUCUCUCUCUCUCUCUCUCUCUCUCUCUCUCUAUAUAUAUAUAUAUAUAUAUAUAUAGAAUUGAGCUGGAAUACUUAGUAGCAAACCGGCUCCAUUGCCACCUAUUUGUUUUCGAUGGUCGAGUCUCUAAAUCGACGAUCGGUACCGUUGAAUAUGAUCUAUACCACUUGAAGUAUCUAGAAAUCAAAAUUUAUGUUUUUUUCGAUAUUGUUCUCUUGUUCAUCAAGUGGACACAAAAAUGAACGGCUGAAAAUAUAUAUCCUUUAAAAAGUGAUGAUAGGAGUCCUGUAAUCAAGAUCAAGAGUAUAGAUCUUGUUCUCAAUAGUUUGAAGAGUUUUCUAACCAAAAUUCAGUUGAUUUGGACAUCUUUACGCCAUAAACAAGAAAAUGGCUUUAUAUUGACCAUUAAAAUUACAAAUUUUGAAACCCUUUGAUCAUUAGGUCAAUGAUGUCGAAAAGGCUUGAAAUUUGGUUUCUAGAUAUUUCAAAUGGUAUAGAUCAUGUUCAAGGUGCCGAUCGUCGAUUUGGAGGCUUUAUCAUCGAGAACAAAUGGGUGGCAACACAGUCGAUUUGCUACUAAUAGCAUUCCAGCUCAAUUCUCUCUCUCUCUAUCUCUCUUUAUAUAUAUAAAAGUAUACAUGAAUUUCUACAAUGACAGACGGAAUCAAAAAUGAAAUAAAAGAAUAUUCUUUACGAAUGGUUAUUAUCAAUUUGUUAAAAAGUAUCUUAAAUAAGAAUGAACAAUUAUGAUCAAUCUAUUUAAAAAUAACAUUCCUAUUAAUCUAUAAAUCAAAUCCUACGAAUAGUUAUGAUCAAUUUGUUAUAAAAUAUCUCAAAUAAAAACAAACGGUUAUGAUCAAUUUGUUAAAAAAUGGCAUUCCUAUCUAUCUAUUUUACAUUAAAAUUAAAAAUUGAGUUUAAAUCGUGAAUUAAAUUUACUUUUUUAUAUCAAAUUUGAAUUAAUAAUAAAUUUUUUUUAAUUACAGUGGAUCAAAGUUAAAUUUUAAAAUUUUAAAGUAAAUGUGAAUUAACUUUUGAUGAUUUUAGUUUAAAAUACAUACUUAAAUUUUAGAAUCAUAAAAAAUUUUUUUAAAUUUAAAUUCUUUUUAUAAAUUUUUAAAUAAAAAUGAUGCUCUUUAUUAAAUAAUUAUUAUGUACAUUUGCACGUACACUUAACUAGUAUAUAUAUAUAUAUAUAUAUAUAUAUAUAUAUAGCUAGGUUGGUAUACUAUCGGUAGCACGGAGGCCUUCGUGGUACGAAGUUGUUUUCAAUGAUGCGACUUCCAAAUUGACGAUUGGCUCUGUUAGACUUGAUCUACACUAUUAAAAGCAUUUGAAACUAAAUUUUAUAAUUUUUCGACAUCAUUUGGCUAAUGAUCAAAAGGUCUCAAAAUUGACAAUUUUAAUGGUCGAUGUGAUGCGUUUGUGAAUUUAACAGCGUAAAACAAUCCAAAUCUGAUAAAAUUUUUAUCAAAUUUUUUUUUUCACUAUUGAGAGUAAGAUCAGUACCUCUGAUCUUAAAUUCAAGUCUUUUAUCAUCAUUUUUUAUGAGAUUUUUAUUUUCAACCGUUCAUUGUUAGACUAUUCGUUUGAUAGGUAAAUGAUGUCGAAAAAUUAUGAAAUUUAGUUACAAAUACUUUCAAUAGUGUAGAUUAAGUCUAAUGGAGCCGAUUGUUGAUUUGGAAGCCGCAUAAUUGAAAACAACUUGGUAGUACAGAGGCCUCCGUGCUACGGAUAGUAUACCGCCCUAGCUCUCUCUCUCUCUCUCUCUAUAUAUAUAUAUAUAUAGAGUAGGGCUACUAUACUCUUAUGAGUAUAGAACUCUUCAUACUCAUAAGUUGUUUUCGAUAUCACACCGUUAUACAUUAUCUAGAGUAUUUGAAAUUUCUAGAAAAUAAAAUUUGUAAUUUUUCAAAAUCAUUCUAAAGUCUAUCAAACUUGAAACGCUAUUAGUAGCAAACGGGCUCCGUUGCCACCUAUUUAUUUUCAAUGAUGAAGCCUCCAAAUUGACGAUCAUUAUCGUUGAAUAUGAUCCGUACCACUUGAAGUAUCUAGAAACUAAAUUUCAAAUCUUUUCAACGUCAUUGACCGAAUGAUCAAAAGGUUUCAAAUUUUGUAAUUUUAAUGGUCGAUAUGAUGCAUUUUUUUGUUUAACGGUGUAAAGAUAUCGAAAUCAAUUGAAUUUUGGUUAGAAAAUUCUUUAAACUAUUUAGAACAAGAUCUACACUAUUGAUCGUGAUUACAAGAUUCCUAUCAUCACUUUCUAGAGGAUAUUCAUUUUCGGCCGUUCAUUUUUGUGUCCACUUGAUAGAGAACAAUAUCGGAAAAGUAUGAAAUUUGGUUUCUAGAUACUUCCAAGUGAUAUUGAUCAUGUUCGACGGUGCCGAUCGUCGAUUUGGAUGCUCCAUCAUCGAAAACAAAUGGGUGGCAACGAAAGCCCGUUUGUUAUCGAUAGCAUUCCAGCUCAACUCUCUCUCUCUUUCUCUCUCUCUCUCUCUCUCUCUCUAUAUAUAUAUAUAUAUAUGCGUCCGUCUACUAUGCUAUUAAUAACACCAAGUAUUUAGUACUACCAAGUUUUCUGCUCUAAGAUCUACCCCUUUGACCAUUUCUAUCCCUUAGACUAUACCAUGCCACCAACUACCCACUCAACCAUAGGGGACUACUAUCAUCCUAUCCGCAUAUCCCUUUAUCCAAGGGUCGAAAAUCUAAUAGCACCGAUGACUUGGUGCUAUUAAUAGUAUAAUAACCUAGUCGUAUGUAUAUAUAUAUAUAUGUGUGUGCGUGUGUGUGUGUGUGUGUGUUUGUGUGUGUGUGUGUGUGUGUGUGUGUGUAUAUAUAUAUAUAUAGAGCAGGACUGCUGUGCUCUCAGGAGCACGGAGGCCUCUGUACUCCUGAGCCGUUUUCGAUGAUAGAAUUUUCGAAUCGAUGAUCGGCUCCGUUAGACUUGAUAUAGCAUAUUCGAAGUUUCUAGAAAAUAAUUUUUGCGAUUUUUUGUAUCAUUUAUCUAGUGAUCUGCCGUUUUCAAGUUUAACAGUGUAGAAGUAUUCAAAUCAGAUGAAAUUUUGAUACAAAAUUCUUUACACUAUCUACAACAAGAUCAAUAUUUCUGAUCGAAAAUUUUAGUGCUAUAGCACCACAUUUUAUAGGAUUUUUAUUUUCAGCAGUUAAAAAUUAUUGAUUUUGAAUCCUUUCGAUUGCUAGGUAAAUGAUAUCGAAAAAUCGCAAAAAUUAUUUUCUAGAAACUUCAAAUACGCUAGAUCAAGUCUAACGGAGCUGAUCAUCGAUUCGGAAAUUCCAUCAUCGAAAUCGACUCAGGAGCACGGCACAGCAGUCCUGCUAUAUAUAUAUAUAUAUAUAUAUAUAUAUAUAUAUAUAUAUAUAUGUUUGUGUAUAUUUAUGUAUGUAUGCAUGUAGUAUGUAUGUUUGUAGAUGCAUAUAUAUAUAUAUAGAGUAGAGCUAGAAUACUAUCGAUAGCAAACGGGCUCCAUUGCCACCCAUUUGUUUUCGAUGAUGGAGCCUCCAAAUCGACGAUCGGCACCGUUGAAUAUGAUCUAUACCACUUGAAGUGUUUAGAAAUCAAAUUUCAAAUCUUUUCGACAUCAUUUGCCUAAUGAUCCGAAGGUUUCAAAAAUUUGUAAUUUUAAUAAUCGAUAUAGGCGUUCUCUCGUUUAACGGCGUAAAGAUAUCCGAAUCAAUUGAAUUUGUGUAGAAAAUUCUUUAAACUAUUUAAAACAAGAUCUAUACUCUUGAUCUUGAUUAUAAGACUCCUAUCAUCAUUUUUUAAAGAAUAUUCAUUUUCAGCCGUUCAUUUUUGUGUCCACUCGAUGGAUAAGAUAACAAAUCGAAAAUGUAUGAAUUUGAUUUCUAAACACUUCAAGUGGUAUAGAUCAUGUUCAACGGUGCCGAUCGUCGAUUUGGAGGCUCCAUCAUCGAAAACAAAUGGGUGCAACGGAGCCUGUUUGCUAUCUAUAGUAUCUAGCUCAACUCUCUCUAUAUAUAUAUGGAAAGAGAGAUAGAGAGAGUCCGGCUACUAUACUAUUAGUAGCACGGAGGCCUCUAUGCUACCAACCUGUUUUUGAUGAUGCGGCUUCCGAAUCAACGAUCGGCUCCGUUAGGCUUGAUCUAUACUAUUGAAGAGAGUCUAGCUAUUAUACUAUCAGUAGCAUGGAGGCCUCCGUGCUACCAAGUUGUUUUCAAUGAUGCGGCUUUCGAAUCAACGAUCGGCUCUGUUAGACUUGAUCUACACUAUUGAAAGUAUUUGAAAACCAAAUUUCAUAAUUUUGUGACAUCAGUUACUUAUCAAACAUCUAUACUAUUGAAAGUAUUUGGAAACUAAAUUUCAUAAUUUUGUGACAUCGUUUACCUAUCAAACAAGUAGUCUAAAAAUGAAUGGUUGAAAAUAAAAAUCUCAUAAAAAAUGAUGAUAAAAGACUUGAAUUUAAGAUCAGAGGUACUAAUUUUACUCUAAAUAGUGAAGAGAAUUUUCUAUAAAAAUUUCAUUGGAUUUGUAUCGUUUUAUAUCGUUAAAUUCACAAAUACAUCACAUCGGCUGUUAAAAUUGUCAAUUUUAAGACCUUUUCAUCACUAGUCAAAUAAUGUCGAAAAAAUAUGCAAUUUGUUUUCUAAAUAUUUUCGAUAGCGUAGAUUAUAUCUAAUGGAGCCGAUCAUUGAUUUGGAAGCCGCAACAUCGAAAACAACUCGGUAGCACGUUCGUGCUCUAGGAUUAUUAUGUCAUUUUUGAUAAUGGAACAUCCCAAUCGACGAUCCACACCGUUCAAGUUGAUCUGGAGUAGUUGAACUUUAUAGAAAUUAAGUUACUUUUGAAAAUCAUUUUCUGGUUCAUCAAGCGGUUGUAAAAUGAAUGAUCGAAAACGAAAGCCUCUAAAUAUGUGUGAUAGAACUCUCAAAUUCAUUUUGAUUUAGAUAGUUUAAAGAAUUUUCUAUAAAAAAUUUUACUAAUUUAGAACAUGUUACACCAUUAAAUGAGAAAGCAUAUCAUGUAGAUUGUUAAAAUUGUUCAAUUUUGAGACUACUUGAUAGCAAGUUAUAAAUGAUGUCGAAAAAUUACAAGUUUAAUUCCUAGAAGGUUUAAAUGCUCUAAAUCAAUUUGAAUGGGCAUGGAUCGUCGUUUCAGAUGUCCCAUCAUAAAAAAUGUUCAACAGUAUUGAAGCUCGAAUGCUCUUAAAGAGUAUUCUAGCCCAUUUCUCUCUCUCUCUUUCUAUAGAGAGAGAUAGAGAGAGAGAAAGAGAGAACUCGACUUGUAUUCUUUCGAAAGCAUGGGUGCCUCUGUGCUUUCAAGUUAUUUUCGAUGAUGGGAUAUUCGAUUUGAUGGUUAACUUCAUUAGACAUGAUCUACAUUGUUGGAAGAGAGAGAGAGAAGAAAACUCGGCUUGUAUGCUUUCAAAAGCAUGGAGGCCUUCGUGCUUUCAAGUUAUUUUUGAUGAUGAGAUAUCCGAUUCGACUAUUAACUCCAUUAGAUAUCUACGCUAUUGGAACUAUCUAGAAACCAAAUUUCAUAAUUUUUUUGCGUUUCUCUACCUGGUGAACGAACAAUCUCAAAAUGAGCAGCUAAAAAUAGAAAUUUCAUAAAUAUUAGUGGUGGAAGACUUAAAUUUCAAAUUGGAAUUACUGAUUUUGCUCUUGAUGGUAAAAAAUAAUUUUUAUUAAAAUUUCGUUUAAGUUGGAUUGUUCUACACUGUUGAACUUACAAACGUACCACAUCAGCCAUUAAAAUAGUAAUUUUUGAGACCUUUUGAUUACGUGGCAAAAGUUAUCGAAAAUUUCAUUGUUAUCAUCAAAAUAAUGAACUUUUCACAUGAAAGAUUCAAAGAAAAACAACAUUGCAACUUCACGUGUCACGUCUCGAGGCUCUCAAGUCUUUUUAUUGGAAAACAACGGAAAAUGUAAAUUUUUUUUUUUUUUGAAAUUGAAAGCAAAGAUGCCCCGAAACGCGCACAGACCCGCCACAUGGACAGUCUCGCCUAUACAAAUGGACAAAGUCUUUUCUAUACAUGCACAGCGUAGAAACCGAAGUACAACCUCAACCAAUACAAUUAACCACAACAAGGACAACAAUAACGAGAAUGGAUAUAAGAACAACUAUACAUGAAACCGAAUUACAUAGAGAACACCUGAAAUGCUAAACGACAUCUAUAUACAAAUGAUAACUAUACAAUAGAAGGAAACUAGAGUAAAAGGAACACAAAAUUACUGCAACGGGGACACAUCUACCUAACCGCCUCCUCCAAUGUCACCUAGAUAAACAAUGGGGCGAGAAACAUAUAAAUAUAUUUUCCAAUGAGGGCAAUGCCUGUCGAGGGCAACGUGCACUCACUGGUCAACAGAGAAAGCUAUUAAAUAGGUAUGACAGAUAUAAACAAAUAUAACUGAUACAGUAGUAAAAGAUAAAGCAGGAAAGGAAGUGAACAAUUGCAUAAUUGAAAAAGUAUAGCUACUGUAACCCAGAUAACCAAACCACUAAAAAUGAUACUGUAUGUGGCAAUCGGUGUUAUAUGAUGCUCAAUAGCCAAACCGUCGGCAAUUAGCUGAGAUAGAUACAUAGAAUAUCGACUGACCAAUCAGGUUAUAAUAAAUCAAGUAACCGACCAAGUAGGUCAACAUUUGUCAUAUAAUCCAGUAAGCGACUGAGUAGGUCAACAAGUGUCAUAUAGUCAAGUAACCGACUGAGUAAAUCAACAUGUGUCAAUCAAAUAACUGGCCAAGUAGGUCAACAGGUGUCAUAUAGUCAAGUAACCGACUGAGUAGGUCAACUAACGACAGCUCUACUAGAGAAUAAAUCAAAGAUGCAACAACAUUAGUAGCGCAAAUAUGAUGACAAACCAAGUGAUGCAAGGAUAUUCUCGACAUAAACCAUGGAGAGAAUGGAGGAAAAAGAAGAGGAAGUAGAGUCGGUAACAAUAGAAAAGUAUUUGAAAGGGAGGAUAGGUAAGAUAGGUUUAUUAAGAAGUGCCAUGGCAUUAACACCCUCAUCACUUGAGGCUGACUCUUCAGAAGAUGAGUCAUCCCAAGUUUUUACUUGCAAAACCUUCUUCUUAGAAGGUUUCUUAUUGGAAGUCUGUGAAAAUAUGGCCGAAGCCUUUGCAAUGAUAACAUUGGAUUUUCCUAUUGAAAUCAUUCAUCUUUUUGUAAGACUUCGCAGGUUUCUUAGAAUUAGUACUUGAAGAUCCUUUGAUUGUAGCCUUUUGUUUUGAUGAUAAAGAUGAGGUGCCCUCAUUGAUGCUGUUCUUUUUGAAGUUCUAUUUGAAUUUUUUGGUGAGAAGAGCCAAUGAUGCUUAAACUUGGCUAAAGAAGUUUCCUUGUCUGAAUCCAAGUUGUUUAUCUUCUCCCUCGAUAGAUUUUAAAGCCAUACCUGCACCGUUAGUAGACUUGGAAGAAGAAGAGUUACUAGGAAAAGUCAUUUCAUGAGUUUGGAGUGAACAAACUAACUCUUGAACCUUAAUUUUAUUUUGGUGUUUUGACUUCCUCAAUAGUUGCUACCUUUGGUCUUUCUGAAAAUGUUUGUAAAAUCUUUCUUGCAAUGUUAGAUUUUAGGAUCUUUUCUCCAAAGUUAGCAUAUGUAUUCACUAUGUCUUGGAUUCAAGUAAUCCAUAACUUUCAUGCUUCUUCAUAUGAAUGGAAUCAAAUUGACCUGUAAGUAUAUGGAGCUAUUGGAUUUUUACUAGACUUGUAUUAUGUGUAACUUGUAAUGUGUGAAUUCGGUCUGGAGACUUAGUACUGGUACUGGAAGUCGAGUUUCGAUACUCUUUGAUGAUUCUGCAGAAAAUCGUUACUAAGUACUGAUACUCUCAGAAAAUAAUUCUGGUAUGUCAUACACAGAGGCUGUUGCACGUUCGGCUACUCCAAAUUUAGUACCGGUACUCCAAAUUUUAGUACUGGUACUCGGUUAAAAAAAUUUGAGGAAUCGAGUUUCAAGUUUUCAGGAACUUCUUUGUGGUACUGGUACUCAAUUCAAAAACUUGAGAGUUUUCGUUUUUGAGGAAUUUCCAGGAGGCACCGGUACUAAAUGUUAAAAAUAUGUAGUUUUCAAAACCAAAGUUUUGAAAACUUGUUCACAGCCAUUUUUAACACAUAUGAUCAAUUCCAACGCUAUAAACGUAUAGAAAUCACUACAAGUACUUAUAAAAUUUACCUCAACAUUGUGAAUUACUUUUUUCAGAUUUUUGAGUCUUCAAAGUAGAUUUUUCUGGUUUCCUUCGCAAACUCUUCGAGUCUUCGAAGGUGAUGUUCUCGUUGCGAACUCUUCAAGAUUGCAACUCAACUCAUCAUGAAAUAUGCCAACACUAAAAUCGGUAAAUUAAGGACGUAUUUAUUUGUGGAAUUUCAACAAUUAGAUCAAAAUCUAAUGGAUAGAAUUUUAGUAUUAACAUUAUCGUCUGUCGGCCUCCCACCUCCGCCCUCUGUGGCUUCCGCUUCACCUCUCCCUCGAGCUCGGGCCCACCUCCAUUAUGGAGGGCGAGGAGACCAGCUCGUGUCCGGCUUGAGCUCGUGACGAGCUCGAAAAGCCCAACUUGGAGAUCGGAUUGCAAUUUAUUUGAGCCAGCUCGUGUUUGGUUUGUUGAGGAAUCGAGCCAAACACAAGCUGUACCCAUCUCGCUCGUGUUUGACACAAGCUGUACCCAUCUCGCUCGUGUUUGGCUCAUUGACAAGCCCUGGUCGCAAGUUGAGUAAUGUUUAGUGAGGCUUUCGAAUGAUUAAUGCAAUAAUCUUCUAUUGUAAUGUCGUUUCGAACUCUAUGCAGCUAAGUUUUUGCUCCUUGAUGAAGUGUCUCUUCUGAACUCCCAUUUAAUCCAUUUUCUUUGUCUCACUAAUAGAAAUGCUGUAGAUAUUUUCACUCUUGAGCCAUUUUCUUGUUACUCAGAACAAUGUAGCAUGCUUCAAGGCUUCAUCAUUUCAUGUGUUCAGAAAGCAAUACUGCUUAGUACGAAUAGAAAAAUUCACGUCUACUAAUAUAUAUUGCAGGUUGUACUCAAAUCGCGCCAUCGUGCGAGCCGCAGCAAAAGGGGUUAGUGCGUCUGCGAACCUUGUUCUGAAGGCUCUCUGAAGAAAUUUAUUCCAUCAACCUGUUCAUGUAAAUUAUACUUAGUUGAUUGCUCACGCUUUGUAACUCCUAUUUGUCUUGUACAGUAUUUCUCAUAAACUAGACUCGCAUUUGCAAGGAACAUGCUUUAUUCCAUCCCUUCCCCCCCCCCCCCCCCCCCCCCCCCACCCAAAAAAAAAAAGAUAAUGUGGUGGUCUACGUUUGAUGCAUUGUCCUUGUAAGAUAUGCACAGAUGCAUGGUCUGCAGCUUUCCUUCUUUAGCUCCACGGAAGCAGGCUAGUUGCUGUCGUCUGGUAAAUUAUGCCACCAGGCACCGAAAAUUUGGUGGAACCUACAUAGGUCAAGGAAUUUUAAUUUUCUCAAUGACGACAUGGAACCAAUGUCUAAAUUGACUUUCGAUCGUCAAACUUUGUGUGCUUGGACAUUUUGAUGCCUCAUUUUUUUUUUUGUUGCAAUUUCUAACUCAAAUUUUCUACAUCUUUGCAAUUACCUCUCAACGCUUAAUUUAAUUAAUUAAACAGUGACGUGUUGUUAAUAUGGUUGUGUUAUGCAAUAGUGCUAAGGCAACAACAGAUAGUGUGAGAAUUACUAAAAAAGUAAUUUUUAGUGGUUACUGUCGCCAAUCGCAAUGAUCUAGCUAGCAAGUCUAUUAGAGGCAUAAAGAAAAGGAUAAUCAACCGUACAAUAGGAUAUAUGCAUCAGCUGGAAUGAGAUUCUACAGCUAUUAUGACUCAAUACUACAGAUGCUCGUGACAAAAGUGCUGAAUGUAUAUGCACGCAUCAAGUACCGGGUACUCAAAAUCGUAAUCCAAUCUCAUUGAUCGACUUGAGGAUCCGGUCAACUUGAUUGCGAAAACGUAUUCGUUACGAAUGUACACUCUUAGGGCGCAAUAGAACCGUCCUAUGAGGUUUCAAUUCUUGUUCGUUUGAAUGCGAACUUGUAUUGGUUAUGAAUAUACACACUUUGCGUGUAAGAUAUCGAAAUUCGACGAUAUUGGCUAACUUGGCCAAAUGGACCAAAGUGAGCGAUUAAACGAAUUGGACGAGUUCCAUUCGGAGUUUCAAUAUGUUUGGAAGAGCAAAAAUGAGNGAGGUGUGUUCAUCACGCGAGGCCUCAACCAGUGCACCCUAUCGGAUAAACCCCAGGGCACCCUAUCCCUACCGGAUAAACCCCAGGGCUCCCUAUCGGAUACACCCCAGGACGUCUGCCAGAGCCUAAGCAUCAAACUCAGUGCUCCCUAUCGGAUACACCCCAGGGCUACUGCCGAGGGAUGCUUAGCUCUACCGAUCGGUCGUCUAACCCAUUACAUGAGUGCUCUUAAUACGUUCAAUCCGUACUCGCCAUCAACUCAGGAUCAUCUCUCCUGUAAUCCGACUCCACGUUCACUCUGCAGGAAGCGGAGCUCGGACCGAAACACGCCAUGAGGCGUUUGCUAACUGAGUUCUGGCUCAGCCCGUCAAUCAAAACAUUUCCAUCUACUUUGAAAUACUGUUUUUGCCAUUUCCUGUCUUUUGGAAUUUACGGUUAACUUACUUUCCUCAUUAGCUAACUUAAACAGUGCGGGGCGCUGGCGAUGGUUAAACCGAGCCGGGCCCGCGCAGCUUGUCUGCGGCCUGCCUGUCGUGGAGGGGACAGGCGGGUUCCGAUUGUUGCUCUAACACAUGUUGUUCAAGGGUCCUUUUAUUGAACUUAUGUAUGUGUUAGUUAUUGAUGUUGCUCUCGUGUUAGUCACGUUUUGUUGGUUCUCGUUCUAUGUUCAUAUCUUGUAUGUUCAUUACUAUUUCUCUCCUUGUAGAUAGAUAAUGUAAGUAAGUCGGAAAUAUUAUAUUGAACUAAUAUGUAAUUCGAAGAUUUGUAUUAUAUUUCGAAUGUAGAAGGUUUUAUAUUUGUAAUCGAAUGUAAGUAAGGUCUCAUAGAGUGUUGGAUAUGUAGUAGAUGAGAGUUACAUAUAUUUCCAUUGAGAUUACGUCUUUAUCCUUUCAUUUGAUUACGUUGAUCCCGCGAUCUGGGUUAGGCGCGCGCUGUUGGUUUGCUGGAGGCUAGGCGCUAGGCUUUUAAUUUCCAGAAGCCAAAGGAUAAUGCUACGAAGUUUAGGCAAAGGUGCUAAAAUGCUGCAGCGGAGCCGGGAGGUCCGCCUGGGCUUCGGAUUUGCAGGCAAAGAAAUUAUUGAAACGUGGCCGAGUUGCUUAGCGGCUUGGCAGCGAAGGUUGCGCAAGUCACUGGAUAGUUAACCCAAAUGCUUCCCAGUUUAAUCUAGUUUGGGGUGGAUUAAACAUUUGGGGGUAAAAGUGUGGGAUCGGAGUUGUAUACGAGGUUUGUUAGGUUUAUAAUUCCUAAAUUGUUUGAUUGAAGUGUAAUCUCCGAUAAUCUUGUGAAUUUCGAUUCCUAAUUCGGUUUAGGGUUUUCGAAUGGGGUUACACUUGCGGUGUUGCUUUUGUGCGGCGAGGUUGCCCGCGUGCCUUCGAGCUAGGCAACGGAGGUUGCGCAAGCGUUCGAGCUAGAGGUGGUUGCGGCGCUUAAACCCGCUCUUUAUAUCUCUCUACUCUCUCUAUAAAUCUCUCUCUUUCUCUCCCAAAGAGAGUGAUGUGGUACUUGCACACUACGAACCACAACCGACGUCGACUCCUCCUUCUUCGGAUCAUCGAAGAUGAAUAUCAGUUGUGGAGUUAUCAUCGUAUGUGAUAAGUGUAGUCCGUCGAGGUUUAGACUAUAGAAAGCGGCCUCGAGGGACUUAUAGGCAAACUCGAGUUUAAACUGUCCGUGCGAGCCAAAAUGAAUUAUUCAGGUUUCUUUAAAAUUAUAAAGUCAAAGCUGGGGCAAACCAGUGGCUUUUGACACGGCUUGACGUUAGAAAUAGUCUACCUAAAGCCUAAAAUAAAGAGUGAAAUGCCCACAGUCUUUUUAUACUUUGAAAUUUAGAUCGGAGUAAUUUUAUAAAGACCGUAGGGGCGGUUAAAAGUAUUAAAAGACUCUGACACGUAAAAGACGAUUAAAAAGACAGGGCAAAGGUUGUCUUUUAAGAUCUAGAAGACAAAAGUAGGGCUAAAGUCGUGUUCAGUGAAGACUGAAUACAAAAUGAAGAGAUUUAGCGACCAUCACAAGCUGGGAACAGACAAUGAGUAUGAUCAAUUCUGUGUCCACGAGAAUAUCUUGUCACUAGGACCAUCAUGCACAGGUGUUCUUUUAACACUAAGUUCUAAUGCCACUCGUCAAGUAAGUUGUUUACAUUAACUAUAUGCCACUCGUCAUCAUGUAAGCAUUCUCAAUACUCUAUUUAUACACAAUCUCUAGGUUGACAUUUAUCUAGGUCUUAUCCACAUUUAUCAUCCCAUUGUAGGACUCCAAACCAUACCAUUAUAUUAUUACUACACUUAUAUUUCCAAAUGACGGGUUUUCUAAUCACCCAAGAGUUUUAGACCCAAGUCAACAUGCAUAUGUUAAUUAGCAUAUGUUACUCAACAUAGUCCACAAAUACAUUAACAUGCAUAUGUUCCAACCUGCAUAAUAUAGCCUAUGCAUUCAUACAACACCAUUUUCAUGCAUCUCUCUAACAUUUAGUUCAUGCAUCUCUCUAACAUUUAGUUCAUGCAUCUCUCUAACAUUUGUUAUAUUAAUUUGCCAUUGUCCACUAGCAUGCAUUAUAUUCAUAUGCAAUUAUCAUGUAACGUACAUUUCUCACAUUAUAUGCAUUUACCCAAUCUUCACAUCGCAUGCAUCAUAUAGCAUUUAACCCAUUAUAUGCAUCAACUAGAAAAUCAUAUUUUUCUUCGACAUGAAGGCGACCUAGUCGCUUCGGUAAGCACAACCCACUUGUUAGUGCAUUCCGAUUGCUUGUCGACACUUGCAAUCGGCCUCCUGCGGCAUCCGGUGCCCGGUUCCGUCGGAACUUGCAAUUGCGCACCAACCGCGCAUCGCUUCGCAGCCUCGGGCAAAAAGGGUCUUCGUUUUGUUGUUACAGUGCCUCAAAUCCGAUUCCAUGAUUUUACGACGUCGCCUCGGCCCUCCAGGCGGAAACGAAGCCUAAACGUCCGUUUCUUUAAUAACUUCGCACCGGCUCGACGAAUCGCCGAACCGACUUCGCCAGCGCGUUCGUUUACCUAGCAAUUAGGUUUACAGAGGGUCAAAUGAGAUCAAAUCCUCAUAUUUACCAAACUAGCAUUUUUGAGUCCUAUCAUGAAAUAACCUCCAAAUAAUCCAAAUUAAAUGGAGCAAUAUGCUAAUAAUGAUCAUUAGAGGCUACUAGAACUCUUAAAGCUAAGGAUUAAGCCAAAUCCCAAAAGCUUACCCCAAUGUGAACGCCGCAACGAAAACACGCCGCUCCAACGGGCGCACGAAAGCUCGAUCCGUCGCCUCCAACGCGUUCGCAAGCUCGAUCUCCACCAACCCUCCAAUUUUUAGAAAGAGAUAUAGAGAGAUGAGAGAGAUAUUUAGAGAAAGAAAGGAGGGUUUCUCUCCCCCUUCCAUGCGUGCGUGUGUGUGUCCAUGGUGGCGGUGGUCGGUUGAAGGAGAAGAAGCUGAUGCUUCUAAUUAAAGUCAACACCAAUACUAUUCACUCCAAACAACUUAAAAUCUGAUAUCUUUCGCCGGAGCUUCCAGAGUGUUCGUUUGAGCUCAAAUUUGACAGUCAUGUUCGGUUUAAUGUACUGAACAAGAAUAUAUCUUAAGUUUUCAGUUUCGACCCCGUUUGGUCAUUGAAAAUUGUACCGAACUACAAUCUUUAUUAGAUAGAUUUCGGAUUUUAUUUCUCACUCUAUGGGUGUCAGAAAAAUAUGAAACUUUAAAUUUAGCCUCAAUAAAAUAUUACUGACAUCCCCGCCAAUUUUCAUAAUUUUCUGAAACUGUGCAUUUUCUACUAAUUUAUCUAUCCCGUUUCUCACAGAAAAUUCUAAAUCUUCUGUUUUCGCUCUGAUCUCAGCACAGGUCAUUUCCAAUCUAUAUUUUACUUCUCUAAACCCAAUAAAAAUAGUAUCUCAUACUAUUUUUAUUUAUUUUCACUUCUAUAUUUAAAAUCCGGUAUCUUACAUUCCACCGCAACCUCACCGGAAUCAUUUAAAUGUACACCGUAACUUCGUAGUUUUAGAAGUCCGGUACCUUACACUCAGGGCGCUAGAAAUGAUUUAAGAUGUUUCAACCCUUGUUCGUUUGAAUGCGAACUUGUAUUAGUUUUGAAUAUACACACUUAGGCACCGUUUGGUUCGGGUAUAAGCAACAAUUAGCUAUUACAGGGAUAUGUACAAGUAUGGGGAUAAGAAAAAUAUCGUUUGGAUGAAAAUUGGGUUGUUCCUGGGAAUAAAAAAAUAGCGUUUGGAUAGAUAAUAUGGAAUAAGAAAAAUAGUCGGUAGUUAUAUAUAUAUAGAAAAUAUAGGUAUUGGUGGGGAUAGUUAUACCAGCUUAUUUCAGGUAACCGAGAACUACUAUUCUCGGAUAAAAAAUUAGCAUUUGGGUAUAAAGGGGGGAUAAGGGGUUAUUCCAUCCCUUAUCUGCAAUCCAAACAGGGCCUUAGGGCAUAGUAGAAUUGUCACGCCCCGAUCUCCGCCAAUUUGGUCAGAUUCGGGCACGCCAACAGACCGUCGAGCGGACAGAGCCUUCCCUUAUACGUCCUAGGCAUCACAAUCUAUACAAUACAAUACACAAGGUUCCAAUCAGGAACAGUAUUCAACAUAGAUUGCAUAAGGAUCAAAAACAUAAAAUGCUAAGCUUUGCUAUUACAAGCAUUCAUCUCACAGCUUUUACAUAUUACAAUAUUAUAUUAAAUUUGUUUUUUUCAUUCUAUAUCCUUAGCUAGACCACUUCAGGUACCGCUAUCUCUGGUCUCGGUGGUAGGGCGCUAUCUAUGGAGCUACGCCCUUUCCUCGCGCCGCCGCACUACCCACGUGUGAACUUGAAAUCCCCAAAACAAUGUGGGGUGAAAACUAUAUAACUAUAGUUCCCAGUGGGUACGGCCACCCAAGAGAAGAGCUCGACCCACUAGGUCCAAAGGAGGCACUGCAACAUGUUAGUCCACAGAUAUCGAUAGAUAAUUUAAGCAAAUAUUAAAUACAUGAGAAUGUCUCAAGAUAUGCAAUAUGCAAUGCACGCAACACUGUAUAAGUAGAUCUACUGAUUCUACUUUCUAUCUCACUGUCCAUAGCUCAUAUCCAACUAGCUUCUAAGGUGUCCUCUUCCUUAAUUCAAGCUAACCACCUGACUCGGCCUCGAGUUAAUCAUCCGCGGAAUACCGCGUCAAGUCAGGCUCGAGGUGAAGGACGUCUCACAAACACCUUAGCCUUAGCCCACACAACUAUAGGUUUACCCCAGGGAGAAGAGAACCGUUGAUACCCGAGACCAUAAGUCGCUCAAGCUCAACGGGUGAGGAGAACCGUCAAACCAUUCGAGCUCACACCGGGUGACGAGAAUCGUCAAACCCGUUGGAUUACUACCGGGCGAGGAGAACCGUCAAGCAUGUAGUUCUGAUUCACUUGCUUUAUGGCAUACCGGGUGAGGAGAACCGUCAAACCCGUUGAAUCACUGCCAGGAGAGGAGAAUCGUCAAUCCCGCAGUUAUGAUUCUAUUUUUGCCAAUCCACUGGUCACAACCACUGCACUUGCAGCCCCCAUUUCUAGGGAUUCCGGAAUCCACUUUCAAACUUAAGGGUUUAAUACUUACCCUAUGUUGUCGACCUUCCUAGGUCUAAGCUAUUCAUGUCCUAGUGGUCCUUUUACCACUAUAACCCAUAACUUAGUUUCAAGUAUACUAAGUGGCGCUGUAUAUAUCAUAACCUAGGUUCAAUUACACUAGGUUCUAUAUCAAUUCCACCUAGAUCUCGACUCUAGGUUCACUUAUUUAACCUAGAUUCAAUGGCACUAGGUUCAUGUCCAACCUAUGUUUAAUAACAUUAGGUUCAUGCCACUCGAUCUAUGUCUCAUCCUAGUUGUCCAUACCUAGGAUUAUAGUUUACACAAUCUUAUUUUGUAACUGUCGAGUUCUCUAAUCAAUCUAGAGUUAUCGACCUAUAGUCUACUCAUAUGAUUCUAACAUGUUCACAUUAGGUUAACAUUUAUAUAUUAUCUAGUAUUAUCCACAAGAUAUUGACAUGCAUACUCCAAUGGUAGUUAACAUUAACUAACACAAUAUGAUUUAUGCUUUCAUAUUAUUCAUCACAAUCUACCACUAUACAUGUAUGCAUCAAUAAUAACUAUACUUUACUUUAGCAUGGAAGCGACCUAAUCGCUUCGGUGAAGCAACCCACCUUUACUUGAUACCGGAAUACGAGACUCCACUUCCUGCACUUUUCCAAUGACCGCAAUCCGUGCUCGCGACAACUUAAGCUCAAAAGAGGUUUCCUUCGCUAGCUCGCCGUAGGCUCGUCGGAACGUCGAUUCGAGCUUUCCAACGCGUUCGCUUUACCCUCAGUUAGGUUUGUACACGAUCAACUUUAAGCUAGGCUUUUGAACCUGCAAGUUAGCAUUAUUGAGCUUAGGGUUCUAUAUAAACUUUCCUCUAGUUUUCAUGGCAGCACACUCUUUAGUAUUCACUAAACUCAAGCCUUAACCAGGAAUUAUAGGUUAAUUCACCUUAAUUCCCCAAAGACCUGCAAUUAGGGAAUUGAAGAAAUUUACAUCAAUCCCUAAUCAAAAUCUUGCAUAAGAGUUAAUUUUGACUCCUAGCUGCCAAAGUCAGUACAUACUACAUAUAGCUUUAGUUCUAGGUUUCCAUGACACAAUACUAUAGUAGCCCAAUAACUAAAGCUAAACUCUCUUUUAGAUUAACUAAAUCAACCUUAUCAAAGGAAUAUAUCAAUUCUACUAAAAUCUGCAUGAUACUUCCUUAAUUCCCAAUUAUCAAAGUGUACCUAUAGUAUUAGUACACCUGAAGCCUUUUCCAGGUUAUAUAGCAAAAGCCAAUUUCAGAUUUUCAGAAUUCCAAUAAUUCUAGAACACUAUUUCGCAACUUACCAUUAGGGAAUUGAAGAAAUUCACCUCACUCCUUAAUAUAAAUUAGCUGAAUAUCUUACUUUAAUUCUCAGCAAUUCCAAAUCACACAUAAUACCUGUCACAGCCCGCGACCACUCGCCUAUUUGGCCGAGGUCGCGGCGCCGACAGCGCCGAACGGACAAGGUUUCCCUUGUACUGCGGACAGAGUCUCCCCUGUACGUUCAAGGCAUCGCAAUCAAUACAAUACGAAUGUUCCAACCAGGAACUGAUAUCAAUCAAGAUUGCAUAAUGGAAGGUAUCAAACAACAUAAACACAUCCUAUGUUAUUGCUUGGAUCACAUUAAUUGUAUCCAGCUUAUACUUGGAUCCUAACUCUUGGAUCCUACUUAUUCUAACUACAACUUGGAUCACAGCACUUGGAUCCGAUCUAGCUCACCGUAAUUGGAUCGCAAUACUUGUAUCCAACUGUAACUAAGAUCACAACAACUUGGAUCCCAAUUAUUUUUGGAUCCAUCUCUCCAUAAUUGGAUCAAAUUUCUUGUAACCAAUACAUUAUUCCCGCAAUUUGGAUCUCAGCCCAUCUGGAUCCUACCUUUCACGUAACCUGGAUCUAUCCAGCUAUAGUAUCCCAAACUCUAAUGGGAUCUCCGAACCCUUUAUCUAAGGCCUUAGAAUCCUAACACUUGAGCUGUCAAGAUCUCGUCACCCAACUCACACUGUCCAAGGGGAGGGUGACCUGCUUGAAGCUCCUACUCGACAACUGACUUAGCUCCGGCGCCCAGCUCACACCGUCCAAGGGGGAGGGCGGCCGUCUUAGCACGAAGCGAUCCCAACUCACACCGUACAAGGGGAAGGGAUAGCCCCCAGAACCCGGCGCCCAACUCAAACACCGUAUUAGGGGAAGGGUGGCCUUUCUAGGGACUGGUGCCCACAUGCGUCGAGACCCGCUGGGCAACCCGCUGAACUAAUACCUAACUUCCGAUUCCACAUUCACUCUCCAGGAAGUGGAACUCGGCCUGUCUCGCGCCUGAUAGGCGUCUACUAACUGAGUUCUGGCUCAGCCCACCGUAUCACACUAAUUCCAUUCUCGUUGGAAUUCUUUCUUAAACGGUUACUCAUAUCACCCGGGUUCACAUUCCACAUCUCGUGGUUCAUGUUCAUGUUUCUUAUUUCUCGUUUCUUCCUUUUUCUUUUACUUUCUAUUACUUUUCCGAUUACGAUUCCUUAUCGAUCAUUAACGUCCUUUACUUACCAUCGUUUAUCGAUUUUACAUUUCUGUUCGUUUCUCGAAAAACUAUCAACGUAUAACGUAAAGCACUCCGUACAAUAGACAAUCAACGUAUAAUUGUAAAACUAUAUAUAGAUAUCUACAAAAACCUGAUUGUACUAACGUCACGGAGGAACCUGGAAAACCAGCUCGAAAAGGGAACCCACCGGCAUGGGUGACCCUUGAUAGAAAUAUAUCAAGAGUGGGGGCACAACGAAACCCCCAUGUCCAAGCGUGCACUCGCCGCGCCGCCGCGCUCCUUUCCCGCAUCGAGGUAUCUAUCGCGGGAUGGGUCUCUGGUCUCGAUCGCCAUGGGGCAGCUGCACCGAUCCCCAUAUCUUUUACUUUUCUUUGUUACAUAGUUAAACAUUUAUUUUAACAUUUUUGAUCUAACGUAAACCUAUUUUUUUUUUCUCUUACAUAUUUCUUGACACUACAUUUUUAGACACUUACACUUACGCACANCACACAUAAUACCAAUAGCUCUUUUAUAGAAUUUUAUGUCAAAUUCAACUCUAGGGUUUAAGAAAUUCAGCUAAUUCUCUUUGUAAAGUAAUUACAAUAGGUUAUAACCAGGAAUUAGCAACCCUUAUUUUAGUUUUCCCACUACUUCACUAGCUGGUUACUUCCAGCACAUCACUCCCUCACAUCCUACCUACAGAGUCAUCCAACUCCAACCUUCAACACUUCAAACCGAGUAGUACUAAGGGAUAUCCUUCGAAUCUGGAUUAAGAGAUUAGCAAAACCUCACCUUAGAUGUAUGCUCUCCAUCAGCUUACCUUGUUCGCGAAUUCCCUAGCAGCCAAGAGCCUCGACUCCACCUUUUUCUUAAUCGCAAUCCCUUACCGUAGUGUAAGGUACCGGACUUCUAAAACUACGAAGUUACGGUAUACAUUUAAAUGGUUCCGGUGAGGUUGCGGUGGAAUGUAACAUAUCGAAUUUUAAAUAUAAAGUGAAAAUAAAUAAAAAUAGUAUGAGAUACUAUUUUUAUUGGGUUUAGAGAAGUGAAAUAUAGAUUAAAAAUGACCUGUGCUGAGAUCAGAGCGAAAACAGAAGAUUUAGAAUUUUCUGUUGGAAACGGGACAGAUAAAUUAGUAGAAAAUGUACAGUCUCAGAAAAUUAUGAAAAUUGGCGGGGAUGUCAGUAAUAUUUAAUGAGACUAAAUUUAAAGUUUCAUAUUUUUCUGACACCCGUAGAGUGAGAAAUAAAAUCCGAAGUCUAUCUGAUAAAGAUUGCAGUUCGGCACAGUUUUCGGUCACCAAACGGGGUCGAAACUGAAAACUUAAGAUAUAUUCUUGUUCAGUACAUUAAACCGAACAUGACUGUCAAAUUUGAGCUCAAACGGANNNNNNNNNNNNNNNNNNNNNNNNNGGUUGAACGUAUUAUAUCGGAUACAUAAGUAUGUUGUAGUAAAUGUACGUAAAGAGAUUGUAAAUCAAGUACGAAAGUAGAUUGUAAGUUGUAUAAUUAAACAGUAAUAGUUGAUCGUACGUAAUAUAAGUAUACGUUAAUAGUACGUUAUAUGCAAAGAGUGUAAUAUACGUAAUUGGGUUAGAAGUGUAGUAUACGUAGUAUAUCGUAAAUUGGGUUAGAAGUGUAGUAUACGUAGUAUAUCGUAAAUUGGGUAAUAUACGUAGUUGAUCUUUUAGUAUAAAAAGAAGCUGUACUACCGCUGGAUCAGCGAAGCCAUUCGUGUUGGGUGGACAAUCACGUAAGGCUAACGAACAGCUGUGAACGUUAGCCGGAGGGCGCCGUAGGCCACGAGCCAAGGCAGCCUUGAACGUUAACGCGUGGUUGGCGGGUAGCGAAGCGUCGGAGCCCGUUUUUCCCAGAAGCAACACAACAAUGCCACGGAAUUUAGGCUAAGGUACUAAAAUGCUGCAGCGGAGCCGGGAGGUCCGCCUUUGCUUUGGAUUUGCAGGCAAAAAAAUUAUUGAAACAUUGUCGAGCAGCCUAACGGCUUGACAGAAGCGGUUGCGCAAAGCAAUGGAUCGUUAAUCCAAAUGCCUCUCAGUUUAAUCUAGUUUGGGAGUAAAAAAGUUUUAAUCGUAAAAACUCGGGAUUGUACUUUAUUGGAGGUUUAUUAGAUUUAAUUUACCUCGUUACACGAUUAUUACUAGUAAUCUCCGAGUAAUCUCCGAUGAUCUUGAGAAUUUCGAUUCCUAAUUCGGUUUAGGGUUUUCGAAUGGGGUUACACUUGCGGCGUUGCUUUUGUGCGGCGAGGUUGGCCGCGUGCUUUCGAGCUAGGCAGCGGAGGUUGCGCAAGCGUUCGAGCUAGAGGUGGUUGGGAGGUUAAAAAUCUCUCUCUAUAUCUCUAUACUCUCUCUAUAAAUCUCUCUCUUUCCUCCCAAAGAGAGGGGGAAGGUACGCACGCACACACAGGUACCACCGCCACCAGCCAACUUCCUCUUCGACUAACAGUGCGGGGCGCUGGCGAUGGUUAAACCGAGCCGGGCCCGCGCAGCUUGUCUGCGGCCUGCCUGUCGUGGAGGGGACAGGCGGGUUCCGAUUGUUGCUCUAACACAUGUUGUUCAAGGGUCCUUUUAUUGAACUUAUGUAUGUGUUAGCUAUUGAAGUUGCUCUCGUGUUAGUCACGUUUUGCUGGUUCUCGUUCUAUGUUCAUAUCUUUGUAUAUGUUCAUGUAUUCUCUCUUCUCGAUAGAUAAUGUAAGUAAACUGAGUUAUGUAAGUUAAUGUAGAAAAUGUAAGAAGGUUUUAUAUUUAUGUUAGUGAGCUUGGAGUGGGAUAUAUAGUAGAUGAGAGUUUAUAUUUUCCCACUGCCGAUCACGUUUUUCCUUCCAUCGAUUACGAUGAUUUUGCGGCCCGGGAAUGGCGCUAGGAGUGCGAGUGGCCCCUGUGGGCUUGACCUUGGACACCAUUUUUACCCCCACUCUUGAUUGAAGGAAUCAAGGGUCACCCAAGCCGGCGGCUGAGGCGGCUAGAGGGGUGAUCAACAUAUGCAUGUUAAUGUAUUUGUGGACUAUGUUGAGUAACAUAUGCUAAUUAACAUAUGCAUGUUGACUUGGGUCUAAAACUCUUGGAUGAUUAGAAAACUCUGACAUUAGAAAUACAAAUGUAGUAUUAAUAUCAUGAUAUGGUUGGGAUUCCUACAAGGUGAUGAUAAAUGUGGAUAAGACCUAGGUAAAUGACAACCUAGAGAUUGUGUACAAGUAGAGCAUCGAGGCAUUACAUUGUGACGAGUGGCAUGCAAACCAAGUAAACAACUUGACGAGUGGCAUUAGAACUUAGUGUUAAAAGAACACCUGUGCAUGAUGGUCCUAGUGACAAGAUAUUCUCGUUGUACACAGAACUGAUCAUACUCAAUGUCUGUUCCCAGCUUGUGAUGGUCGCUCCACACAAGUAGUGCGCUCCGGAGUUGGUCACGUGGGAUAGCCUAUUUGGGGUCCCGUGGGAUAGGGAAGCCUAUUUGGGGUCCCGAGGGAUAGUGUCACGCCCCGAGACCGCUACCAAUUUGGUCCGGCCCCGGGCGCGUCAAACAGACGCCGAACGGACAGGACCUCCCCUGUCCAUCCAAGGCUAACCAACAGAUCAUGUAUAAGAAUUUACCCAUGAAUCAAUUCAUAAAUACACGAUCAAGAAGCACCACCAGUGCAACCAAACGAGAGCAAGAUACAAGUAUAAAAACAUAUAUUAGUACAUAAAGAGAGAAGAGGCUAUCUAUUAUAUUCAUUCAGCCUUUAUAAUACAAUUUGAUUAUAUAUUAAGCUUCUAAACAUAAUAUAAAGCUAGCAUCUUUCAAAAUAUAAACAUUAGCUUACAUUCAUCCCAAAAUAGCUCACAACCUAUACAUCAUCUACUCUCAAUAUAUAUAAAGGUAACUCUAAUGCAGAAAUAGGAAGGUAAACUAAUGCAACUAGGGCGCUAGGCCCUUACCGCGAUCCUCGCCGUGUGAACUCGCGCUCGGCCCUGUAGUAAAAUGGGGGUGAGAACUAACUUCCUUAGUUCCCAGUGGGUNNNNNNNNNNNNNNNNNNNNNNNNNNNNNNNNNNNNNNNNNNNNNNNNNNNNNNNNNNNNNNNNNNNNNNNNNNNNNNNNNNNNNNNNNNNNNNNNNNNNCGCUUUUAUUGUAGACGCCUUAUAUGUGUAGACAUAUGGCGGGUCUGGGCACGCUACCGGGAGGCCUCCGCCGGUCCUGGGCCGUGACACUAGCGCUCAUGAUUCUUGCUCAAUAACAAGCCUCGAAGUUCUUCCGGUGGGAGAGGAACCUACCACAUGCACCCGCGGCUAAGAACUAUCGAGCUCGUAUGCUGCACUCGCAGCCGCUGCACUAGCAGCAGGGAUUCCGGAAUCCACUUUACAUCUCUCAAGGGUUGGUCUCACCCUAUAGUAUCGACCUAUCUAGGUCUAAGCCUUUACUCAACCUAAGUUGAUACAUUAGGUUCAACGUCAUUAUCUUCUUAGCCUAAGUUCAUUAACACUAGGUCCAAUAUUCUUUACCACCUAGGUUCAUUUGACUCUAAAUUUUAUGUCACUAUGUUCACAACCUAGGUUUACUUGACGCUAGGUUCAAUGCCACUCAUGUUCUUGUUUUUCUAGUUGUCCACACCUAAGAAUUAUACUUGACAUGCCACUCGUGAAUAACCUAUGUUCAAUGACACUAGGUUUAAUGCCACUCAUCAUUCUAGUUAUUUAUACUUAGGAUUCUUUACAUGCCACAUUUAUUGAGUUCUUUACUUUACUUAGAGUUCAUUGACUCAAGUUCAACCUUCAUGUUAUUCUAACAUAUUCUCAUAAUAUGAAUCAUGCAUAUAUUCUUUAGCAUCUCAUGCACAUACUUAUGUUCUUCUCAAAUGAUCAUCGAUUUACACUUUAGCUUACAACUCAUGCAUUCUUACUUAGCAAAUAUCUCAUGCAUUCUUUAUUAGCAUUUCAAUCAUGCAUCCAUUUCUAAAACAUGCAUCUAGCUCAUGUUACUUGGCAUUUAACUCAUGCAUUUAUCUAGCAUAUGUCUUACAUACUCAUUUAGCAUUUAGCUCUUUCAUUCAUUAGCAUACUUCACAUGCAUUUACUUAGCAUCUAGCUCAUGCCAUUAAAUGCAUUUAUUAGCAUCAUUAUGGUGCAUUCUUACUUAGCAUUCUUAUCAUGCAUUCUUACUUAACAUUCUUAUCAUGCAUCAAUAGUGAAACACACUACACUUUGGCAUGAAGGCGACCUAGUCGCUUCGGUAAGCACAACCCACCUCUUAACGCGUUCUGAUUGCUUGUAGUCACUUGCAAUCGGCCUCCCGCGACACCCGUGAUCCGGUUUGGCCCGAACUCUUGCGCGACCACCCGAACGGUCACCAAUCCGCGAUCCAUCUGCUCUGGAGUUUAAUCCUCGAUAUCACAAUGCUCCAGAUCCGUUUUCAUGAUUUUUGGACGUCUAUCCCGCAUGUUGCGGCUAUCUGUACCAAAACAGACCGUUUCGUCAAUAACUUCGCGUACACUCGUCGGAUUGUCGAACCGAGCAUUCCAUCGCGUUCGUUUGAUCCCCAAUUAGAUUUACAGAGGGUCAAUUGAGAUCAAACCCAACUAUUUACAAAACCCCCAUUUUUGGAGCCCUAGAUGCUACUAUUGCAAAAUCCAUCAUUUAACUUCAUGAAUCAUGCAUUAACCAUCUAUUUAGCAUCCUAGGAUUCCACUAAAAUCAUCUUUAGAGUGUAAGAACUUAACCCUAAAGAUCUACCAUUGAAGCUCCAAGAAGCUUACCUCAAGAAGCUUGCUCCAUUGCAAUGAAGAAGAUGAUAAGGUUGACUUUCCUCCACCUUGUCUUCUUCUCCUUCUUCUUCUCUUCUUUCUCUUUCUUUCCUUCUUCUAGAGAGAGAGAGGGAGGGUUUAGAGAAGAAAGAAAAGCCCCAAAUCCCCAUUCUAUACACUCUUCUCAUGCCAAAAUUGCAUAUAAACACCUCAACUUUACCUCUCUUGCAACAGUCCGAACUGGGCAUUUUUGGGCUUCGGAGACCGGUCCUUGGAUGAAGGACCGGUCCCUGAGAGACUGGUCCUCGGCUGAGACACCGGUCCUCGAAGGUCCAGAAAUCAGCCUCAGGGACUUAGCUAAAUUUUCAGCAUUUUCAACUUUCGGGGUCCAUUUUCGCUCGUUUUCGCUCGUUUGGCCUCCGAUUCUUUUCAAAUCAAACGAGACCCACCAAACAUGUUUUCGAACAUGUUUUCAUCAUCUUUUCAUCCACGCUAAUGCCGAAUUUAGUCCACAGUCCAACGUAGCCUUUCGAGUUCCGUUUUCACGCCCUAUGCGCACCGAAGCACCCGAAUGCUCCCGAACUUCGCCGGAAUGAUUCCAAUGGCUUUCUCAGCUAACAUACAUCGUAACUUCAUAAAUUAGAAGUUCGGUAUAUUACAGGUUCGUGGUAGUAUUUAUCGAUGACAUUUUGAUCUAUUUACGAAGCGACGAGGAGCAUGAAAAUCAUUUGAGAGUAGUGUUGCAAGUCCUUCGGGAAAAGAAGCUGUUUGCAAAGUUAAAGAAAUGUGAAUUAUGGCUUCAAGAGGUAGCAUUCCUGGGACAUGUGAUUUCUGAAAUUGGAAUUGCAGUGGAUUCAAAGAAAAUUGAAGCAAUUAAAGAUUGGCCUAGACCGACUAGUGUAGCCGAGAUUUAGAGUUUUCUAGGUCUAGCCGAAUAUUAUCGGAGAUUUGUGGAGGGAUUUGCUAAAAUGUCUACUCCACUUACACGACUUACUCAUAAAGGAGCAAAGUUUGUGUGGAAUGAAGUUUGUGAAAGGAGCUUUCAAGAGUUGAAGAAACGGUUAACCACUGCCCCGAUUUUGGCAUUACCGGUCACUGGUGUGGAUUAUGUGAUUUAUAGUGAUGCAUCUCUGAGUGGAUUAGGGUGUGUUCUAAUGCAAAAUGAAAAAGUAAUUGCUUAUGCAUCUCGUCAACUAAAGGAUUAUGAAAAGAACUACCCUACACAUGAUCUAGAAUUGGCAGCUGUAGUAUUUGCUCUAAAGCUAUGGCGUCACUAUUUAUACGGUGAACGGUGCGAGAUUUAUACAGAUCAUAAAAACUUGAAGUAUCUGUUUACUCAGAAGGAACUAAACUUGAGACAACGUAGAUGGUUGGAGUUGCUCAAGGAUUAUGAUUUGACUAUUCUUUAUCACCCGAGCGAAGCCAAUGUAGAUGCUUUAAGUCGAAAGUCGACGAAAAAUUUGGCGAUGUCGCUAACCUCGUAACCCCCAUUGGUAAAGAAAAUGGAACAGUUGAAUUUGAAAGUUGUAGCUCUUGACACGCCUUGUCGGCUUAUGUCAUUGAUUGUGCAACCUACUUUGAUCGAUAGAAUUAAAGAAAAACAAGUUCAAGAUGAAUUUCUGCAAAAGAUUCGAGCGAAGAUCAUGGCAGAUUAUGUUGGUGAAUUUCAAAUGGAUGACCAGGGACUUUUGAAAUUCGGUAAUAGGCUUUGUGUACCCACAGAUUCAAGCCUUAAAGAGGAAAUCCUUACAGAAGCACAUCGAGCAUCAUAUAUUCUACAUCCUGGAAAUACAAAGAUGUAUAAAGAUUUGAAGCUAACCUAUUGGUGGCCUGGAAUGAAAAAGGAAGUUGCAGAAUUUGUAGCUAAAUGUUUAACCUGUCAGCAGGUUAAAGCUGAGCAUCGACUUCCCGCUGGAAAGCUACAGAGUUUACCUAUACCGGUAUGGAAGUCGGAAAGGAUUACUAUGGAUUUCAUCGUUGGAUUGCCUCGUUCACAGGCAGGUCAUGAUGCGAUUUGGGUAAUCGUGGAUAGAUUGACCAAAUCUACCCACUUCAUUCCUAUUCAUACAGUUUGGACUGGAGAAAGACUCGCACAAGUAUAUCUUGAUGAAAUUGUGCUAUUACAUGGAGUACCUGUCUCUAUUGUAUCUGAUCAAGAUCCACGCUUUGUAUCACAUUUUUGGAGGAGUUUACAAGAGGCUCUGGGUACCCGAUUGGAUUUUAGUACUGCUUUCCAUCCUCAAAGUGACGGGCAGACCAAGCGCACUAUCCAGACUCUCGAUGAUAUGUUACGUGCAUGUGUGAUGGAUUUUCAGGGCGGAUGGCCAGAAUUUCUACCCAUGGCAGAAUUUGCUUAUAAGAAUAGUUAUCAAGUAAGUAUCAAAAUGGCACCGUUUGAAGCUCUAUAUGGAAGAAAAUGUAGAUCACCACUUCAUUGGAGUGAAGUAGGUGAGAGGCUAACUUGGGGUCCUGACGUUUUAUAGGAAGCCAAAUCUAACGUUCGACUGGCACAAGAAUGGUUAGUGACAGCUCAAAGUCGACAGAAAAGUUAUGCAGAUAAACGCCGACGGGAAUUGGAAUUCCAAAUUGGAGAUCAUGUAUUCUUAAAAGUAUCACCAACAAAAGGAGUAAAAAGAUUUGGCAUUCGAGGAAAAUUAAGUCAUCGAUUUAUUGGACCCUAUGAAGUAUUGGAGCGGAUCGGCCAAGUAGCAUAUCGACUUGCGUUACCGCUGAACCUAUCAAGAAUACAUAAUGUAUUUCAUGUAUCUACACUUCGAAGAUAUAUUUUUGAUCCAACUCAUAUUUUGAAAAGUAUUCCAAUAGAGAUACAAGAAGAUCUGAGCUUCGAAGAGCAACCAAUGGAAAUUUUAGCUUGAGAAGUGAAACAACUUCGAAAUCGUGAGAUACCCUAUGUAAAGGUGCUCUGGAGUAACCAUGAUGAACGCGAAGCAACCUGGGAAUUGGAGAGUGCAAUGCAGGACCACUAUCCUCACCUAUUUUGAAAAUAAUUAGAGGUAACUGUUUUCGUUUCGCGGACGAAACUCAUUCUUAGGAGGGAUGACUGUAGUAUACUGAACUUUAGCAAAUUGCGAAGUUCAAGUAAGGGGAAUGACAUUUGGAACCUCCCUACAUGUUUUAAAGAGUUUAAAGAUGUUUACAGACAAGUUUGAGAGUGAUCGGAUUGUCGGAGACAAGAAAGUGCAUUGCAAUUUCGAGUUUGGCAUUUUCUGCAUUGGUGAAUCGGUACAAACAUAAUGUUGUACCGGUACAACAAGCAACAGUGGCAGCAGGUGCGUGGCAGCAGGAAUUUUUUGGUCUUUUGGCAUCUAAUCUUAUCCCUACAGAUAUUUGGUUGACCCCUGAAGUUGCUUGGGGGUCCAUUGAGUUCAGAGAAGAAAUCUUACACCUUUCUCAUUUUCUCUCUCUAGGGUUUCCUCUCUCUAUCAAGAAUUCUAUGGUUUAGGCUUGAUUCCUCUUCUCUACUUGAUGCUAGCUAAUCGGGAGUGAUUUGGAGCUAUUAGUAAAGAAAAAGGAGGAGCUUGGGGUAGAACCUCACAGCCUGGAGCUUAGUAGUAGCGGGGUUAACUUGUUGGCAAGGUAAACUACUUAACUAUUCAUUAGUUAAGUGCAUAGUAGUGAGGUUAAGUAGUAAUUGGGGUUUUGUUACUAGCUGGUUGGGGGAAAGCUUUCAGCAACUGUAGAAGCCAGGUUUGGGUGAAGAUUUUCAACCCCAACUCAAAGAGAAAACUGGAAUUAACCUUGAGCAGGUGAUCAAUUAAGGAUUGAUCUUAGAGUGAUGUUUUAAUGAAUUUGUUAGUAGAUUGAUGAUGCUGUUUUUCUGGGUUUGUUUCAGCAGCUCGGAGGUUCUGGUUGGGUGGAAUACCUGGCAUUUGUGAGCCAGGUUGAGAGUAUUUCAACCAGCAAGAAACCGAGUCACAGGUAAGGGAUUGAUAUAAGUGAAAUGGAACCUCAAUGAUAGGUAUUAAUGUUGUUUUGGGGAACUAAUUCGCAGCAGGCUUGUGACAGGGUAUUGGAUAACUCUUGGCUGAAUAUUGGGAGCUUUCGAAGAUGGAAUUGGGUGUAAUAACCUAAAUCAAAACAGGGGUUCAAGCUGUGGUCUUGUACAAGGUAAGACUAUUACUGAGUUUGGAUGUUUGAUACCGGUUUUAAUGCAGUUUUUAUAAUUAAGUCACAGCUGGAUUAAGACCUGAUUGAGCUGAAUUUGGGACUUACUUGAACAGGUUUGAGCUGAGUAUUGGGGGCUUCUAUCUACAUUGAAGAGUAGACUUAACUACCCUUUAAAACUAGGUAAGUAACUACUACCUAUUCGGCGAAUAGGUAAGGUUUUGCUAUAGGUAUCUAAAUUCAGCUUAUAGCUGAUCUUGACUCGUGAAUUAGGAACCUGGACACUUGGAUUGCCUACCAGUGUGAGAUCGACAAGAGGCAUCAAUUAGUAGGUGGGUUUGACCUUACCAGAGCAAGUGAAACUCCCCUAUGUUCUAUAUGAUACUAUGGAACUAUUAAUAUUGUGCAAUUGAACUAACAUGUGUUAGGUGAAGAGUAAUUGAGGCAAUGCAUUGAUCACUAGCUAAGCUUGAUUUUCCUAAACUAAUGACUUUACCAUGCCUCUCCAAAGUAGAGAACAAGGACAUACACUUGUGAUAUGAGUAAUAACGCCUUUAUAUUAUUAAGUUUCCAAUGGCAUGUGUAUAUUAGCAUUGUUUUUAUGAGUUAUUAAUCUAGUGGAUAUUAGCAUUUUACAUUAUACUUAGAUACUGACCUAUUGGUCGAGAGUGAGAACUUUACAUGUUAAAACAUGACGACUGAGAACUGUUGGACUACAGAUCGUGCUUGCUUGCCAUUGUGCUCAUUCGCACAUACUUGUGAGGGUCGCUCUCCACAAAUCGGCACUCCGGAGUUGGUCUACACGACAGAUUGCUCGCUCAUGCGGGAUUGGGUGUGAGACCCCAGAUAGUCCUAUAUAUAAGAUAUAAUAGGGCUAAACUCUUAACUCGGCUUAAGCAUUUUGGGUGGUGGCAAGGCCCAAGAGGUUAAGAGAGUUAAGCGUGCUAGGACGGGAGUAGUCCUAGGAUGGGUGACCCCCUUGGAAGUUGGGGCGUCAUAGAUAUUAAAAUAGGGGAACCGCCCAACCAACCAAGUCACUGAUACGAAGUACAAGAAUCGACCUACCAGGUCAACAGAUACGCACAUAGAUAGAACCACUCUACUCCUACUCAGGAUACUAAGCAUGCAAACAACGAGUAGAGUAUAAUGGAAUAACAUGGGUGCAAGGCUCAAUAUAUACUCUGCAAUAAUAACAACAGAAGAGUAAGGGUAAGAAACCAUCACCAAGAGUGCACCACUGUACCGACGUCGGAUCGAAGUACCCACCUGUAAGGAUGUCGCGUCUGUCUCCUGACUGCAAAAGAAUGUCGACAGGACCUAGAAAGGGUCCACCGGGUUAGUAUCUAACCCACAACUAAUAACCACAGUAUCCACAACCCCACAAAUAAUUUCACGAAAAUCGGUUUCCCAAAACCGAUUACCGUAACUCGCCGGAAGUCCCGAAAACCACAUCGGGACGCCGUCGGGAACCACUAAGUGUCCCGAAACUCACCGACUUGUGCCACGAGUCACCUGCUGCACCAGAACACUCCGAUUUGGAUGUUUUGGUAGCAAACAUAAGAUAACAACACUACACAAUUAUCACCGGAUAAUUGUACGAAUCCGGAUUCCCGGAAGUGUCUAUUUCGACACCGGAACCCACCGUCGCUCAUCCAUCAUCACCGAACCUACAAAAUGAUGAUGGUGACUAGCCAACAAGGCUCAGCGACCACACACAAGACAACCAAACCACGUCGGAAGAAAUUCGAACCGAAACCGCGUUCUUUCGGCGAAUUUCGCCGAAAAACGCACCGAAAUCGACUCUUCGAUUUCCGCAAAAGCUAACGGAUCAUGGACAAUCAGUCCAGAGGUCAAACACACUCAUACACACUGUCCACAGUGGCCCUAGGGUGCACAAUUGCACAAAAGUCCCUCUAAUUACAUAAAAUCCUAUCAUUUUAUAUAAUUUGAGCGAUCAAGUGGCUCGUUCACGCAAAUUGAGGACUUCCAAAGUCCGCAGAGACACGUACUGACAGGUCUCGACGUACCGGAGGCCGUGCUCACGAUCCGGAGCACAACGGCUCGCUGUGGGAAGCGCGGGACCAACCCGAAGGUUCAGCGAACAGUACGCAGCCACGGAAAAACGCACCGAACAGGGCUAACCGGACACUGCUGAUCCAAGGUAAGGUGAGCACUGUGAUCAGCACUGACCAGCGAUCACCGUGCUCACCUCCGGAGGCAUCGGAAUAGCCUCGGAUCGCCGAAAACGCACGCACAAACACAGAACAACAGCCAAAAAGGCUCCAUAGGGUCGACACCGCAAAAACAGCGGAACGGGGCCUUCCCGACAGAAACCAAGGUGAGCACGAUGACCAGCAACUUGCCAGGAUCAUCGUGCUCCCUUCCAUAGAGGUCGGGGAGGCUCAGGAAGCUCGGAACAGUAAACAACCCACAAACAGCCUUAUUUCGGGCUUGGCCGGAGCAAGUUUGCUCCGGCCGGCUUCCGGCGGCACGGCGGCGCGCGCGGUGGCUAGGAUUGGGUGCGGGGGAGGGAAGGAACAAGGUGCUCACCUUAGGUGGCGACGAGGAGCGGCGGCGGCGAUGGCGGAACCAACCCAGCCCGCACCAGGUUCGGCUCGGGUCCAGGGUGGCUGCGACGCGGUAAUUGGCUGUCUGAGCCUGACGAGGACGUCAGGGCUUAAAGGAGGGGAGAUUGCGAGACCCCAGAUAGUCUUAUAUAUAAGAUAUAAUAGGGCUAAACUCUUAACCCGGCUUAAGCAUUUUGGGUGGUGGCAAGGCCCAAGAGGUUAAGAGAGUUAAGCGUGCUAGGACGGGAGUAGUCCUAGGAUGGGUCACCCCCUGGGAAGUUGGGGCGUCAUAGACCAUAAAAUAUUAAAGCUAUUAAUAACAAAAGUAAACAAGGUAGGAACUAAACCAACAAACUGGGUCGGAAGCUCUAGCGACCACUGCGAACGUGUCUCACGUCUCGUCUCAACCUCACCGCCCGUAAUACCUAAAAAAAUGGUGGGGGAGGUGAGAACAUGUAAACAUGUCUCCCCUCCCAGUGGGUACCGCAAGCCGAUGAAGGCGAGGAGUACUCACCGGAUCAGGAAGAGAUAAACAACAAUAUGGGUAAGUGAAAUACUAAAUAUAGUAGCAACAAUAAUGAACGAAAAAUAUAGAACUAUAAAUGAAAGCACAACUACGACUACUGUAAUGAACAACUGAAAGUAUACAUGCAGCUAAACUAUAGUAGCAAGAUGCUGAUAAGUAGGGAGCUGACAAGUAUAGAUGCAGGUAAAUAAAACAGUAGCUACAAUAAACAGAUAAGGAUGUACUGGAAAUAAACACUACAGCUACUGUAUGCAUGCGUCAACUGACGAUAACCUCAAAAGUACCCAAUCUCGCUGCCCUAUUGGUCCGAAGACCUCAGGCCCAUGCCACUCUGCUCACCCUGUACCUGACCCUCGCAAUGAAGCCCCUGGGUCAGAAGCAUAUACCCUCGCAAUAAAGCCCCUGGGCUCACGGGUUGGCAAUCCAACCACUUUAAUCUAUGACGCUCCAACUUCCCAGGGGGUCACCCAUCCUAGGACUACUCCCGUCCUAGCACGCUUAACUCUCUUAACCUCUUGGGCCUUGCCACCACCCAAAAUGCUUAAGCCGGGUUAAAAGUUUAGCCCUAUUAUAUCUUAUAUAUAGGACUAUCUGGGAUCUCACAUUGGGUGCCGAAGUGGAUUGCUGUGGGGAGUGUAUACUACCACGGGGCCAUUAGGCGCGGCACAAGCUGGACUACCUUGAGUAGGUCCCGAUAAAUUAAACCAAAGUGUAAAUGGUAAUAAUAGCUGAUUAUCAUUGAGUAAUGUACAGUUGCAUGACAUACUUUUGUUCGUUGCAAUUACUUUACUUAUUUCUACCUGAUAAACACAUGUGACAGCAUGAUACACAUUCAUAAUUUUUUAUCGUUGAUAAGACCAUCAUGUUAUAACUGUUUUACAUUUCUAAUAGUACAUCAUGAGCCUAGUGGUGUAAUUCGCCGAGGCUGGCGGCUUACCCACUGGGAACUAUUGUUUAAUAGUUCUCACGCCCUUUUUAUUGUUGUUUUUACAGAGCCACCUACUACAGGAGAGGCUAAGGAUCGCGGCAAGGGAAUCGUGUCUAGCUAGACAUAGCUUGGAGUUUUACUAGGUGAUCACCUUGCUACUCGUGCCACGGCCAAGGGUGAUAUACCCGUGUAUAGAGAGACCACCAUUGUACAUAUAUUUUGAGUAACCUUGUGAUGUAUAUGUGGUUGGAACCAGAGAUUACAGUUUUGGUGCUUCUCUGCGAUGUAGAAAUUCAGGAUUGUACGUACUUUUCUUCUAAUAGUUGCAUUAUUGACUUAUACUUUGCUCGGAUAUCAGGUUAGGAUUUCUUAUGAUUCCCUUCUUCAGAUAUGUUUUCUUUGUAGACGCCUUAUAUACUGCAGGUAUAUGGCGGGUCUGUGCAUGUAUCGGGUAUGCUUCCGCCGAUACCCGGGUGUGACAAGAAAACCAUCGCACUAUUUGAAAUCUUAUCAAGUAGUGAAAACUCAAUUGUUGACUGUUUAAAAUUUUUUAAACUUUGUUCCAUUUUGUGUUGUUACUAUUGGAUAUAUAUUGAAUAACAAUAUUAUGUUUUGGAUUAUAUGUUAAAGAAUUGGGAUGUUGCUUUUUGUGUUGCUACUAUUGGAUAUCUAUUGAAUGGCAAUAUGUGUUUUGGAUCAUAUGUUAAAGAAUUGGGUUGUUGUUUCUUGAGAAUUAUUUUUUGAUGAGAAAUGUAAUAUUUAUGAUAAUAUGUUUGUUAAUAAUUUUUUAAUUUUUUGUUCAUAAAUGUAGAUCAAUAUAAAUAUUAAUAUAAUUUUUUAUCAUAUCUGUAGAAUAGAGGCGGUUGAAACCGCCUCUACCAUUGAUGCUGCAUAAUAAUAUUUGUAGAGGCGGUUUAGAACGCCUCUAUAGAUUAAAAUUUAUAGCGGCGAUUUAAACCGCUUCUAAAAAUAAAUAUUUGUAGAGGCAGUUUAAACCGCCUCUAAAUGAUAAAAUUUGUUUAAUAAACUGUGAAUAAAAAAUAUUAAAUUAAAAUAUUGCGGCGGUUGAAACCGCCUCUAUAUAUGUAAGGAAGUGAAUUCUCGAAAUACGAGGAUUGUACUUCAUCCAGGAUCGACUAAUUGUCGAAAGUAUACCCUUUGUGGGAGUUGAGAAUGUCCAAAGCACAAAAAGUGCCUUGGAGUUGAGUUCCCGAGAGCAAAUGAGGCAAACUGCAUCAUUGGGCUGAUGUUGCUCUCGGGGACCGGUCUCUGCAGGUGAGAGACCGGUUCCCCUGGCUGGGCGUAGCGGGGUUGCGUGAUGCAACCGGUCCCUGGCAGGGAGGCACCGGUUCCCGAACGUGGUCCCAACGAGAGAUGCCAAAAAUUGGCUAAGUCCUGAAGAUCGAGCUCUCCGGGACCGGUCUCCCAGGUGAGGACCGAUCUCCCGGGGAGAGACCGGUUCCCGAACGCGUGCGCCCGAGGGAAGCUCUCGGGGACCGGUCCCAAGUCGGGGAGACCGGUCCCUCCGCGCGAAAACUGCCCAG
rnacentral:lncRNA from 1 species